rnacentral:lncRNA from 1 species
GCUUGUACAUAAUUUCCUGAUUCGUUUUCGCAUCUGCACUUAGCCGGGUCUAUGUGCAACCUUUGAGUGCAGUGCUGAGACAAAAUAAAACACCUCGGGGAUGAUGAAUGUAUCGUUCCAGCAACUACUGCCUCCGUUCCUAAAUAUUACUGUCUUUUUUAUAAGAUUUCAAUACUAAGAAGACUAGGCCCGUAAGGGUUCAAUUUUUCUGGUUUUUUCAGAUUUUUUUUACCUUGUUUCUAUGAUUGACGCGUGUGCGUGAUGGCCUUCUAGGGUGUCAUCGAGUUUAUUUUUCUUGCGGUCAUGUUUUGUUUACUGUUGACAUUGACAUGUUGUGUGCUCUUGUUUAUUGACGCGUGUGCUGUGUGGUCUUUUGGAAGGUCCCUAUUUUCUUUUUAAAAGACUAGCAAAAGGUCCGUGCAUUGUAACGGGGGAGAAAUUGGCGGGUUCAUCAAAACAGUCACCGGCAUGGUAUGAUAGCAUUAGAUUGUGCCAUGGCAGGGAGGCUCACGCUGAGGUGUAGACAAAAUGUAUAUCAACUGCUUCUUAAUCACAAAAUGAUCCUUACUAACUUCGAUGAUAAGGAAACUUCUUCAAAAUAUUGAAACCUGCACUUAAUUAGCUUUAUAGACACGUAGCAUUUGCAGCAACACUAAUUGACCUCACAAGGACAUGCGGUCGACUUUGGGUCAAUGUCGGUCAUCCUUGCAGCAUUCAUGUGGUCGGCUUUGCAACAUCAUCCUUCUGACUUGAAAUACUACCGACCGUCCUUGUAGCGAAUGCAUAGUCGGCUUUGCAACACAGCAGUCCGGCUUUUCCAGUAAAUGAAGAUAAUGGCAACUGACGUUGAUUGGCAUGCUUCCGCUAGAUGCAUAGGACAUUCGGUCUUGGAGUGUUGCAUCCCGCUUGCAGCAACAUUUGCAGGGUCUUGAAUUCGGGUUACAACAACGGCGCUUGAUCAAUCAGGCUGUUUUUUGAAAAAAAGAUAUAAUUUGGUCGCACAAAAAACAUUCAUGUAUCUUCGUUCUUGGAGUGUCGUGUAUUCCGUUUUGCACCAUUGAACGUUCGAUCAAUCAGGUUAUUUAAAAAAAUGUAAUUUGUUUGCACAUAAACAUUCAUGUAUUUUCAAUUUUUUAUAAUGCGCCAAAUGCUAUUUUCAUUUUUCUAACACUGAUAUACGAUUUUCUCCUUAUUACCGUCGUCCAAAGCGAGCUUGAUGCUUGUGUGUGUGCCUCAUCAAAUCCUUGUAUUUAAAUUUCCACUUAAUUACCCGAAAAAAGUUUCCACUUAAUCACCCAAGGACAUGGACCAGGCUUGCCUUCACCCGUCCUUUUGAUCCCAUGCAUCCAUGCUCCGCACCGCAUGUUAAGCAUCCAACGGUUUCAAUUCGUUGCUCUUUUUUUGCAGACAAAAAGAAAUUAAAAAUCCUCGUAUUUUCUCGUCCACUUCUUCUUCGGUACAACCCCUGAACACAUCAACGGUCCAGAUUAAAAGAUACCCUUUCGUGAGAAUAAGUGAGUAGAGAUAGAAUGGGAAAUUCAGGUGAGGGAGGCGUACCGCGGCGUAGCGAGGCGCGUGUUCGUACGGCCCGCUGUACGCCCGUACGUGGGCGGUGUACGCCGCGUGAGGAGGAGGGCGGGCCCACACGUACUAAACCCCAAUCCAUUAAUUCGGCGCGGAUUAGGCGAAUCCAUUAACGCCGGUGUCGGUCCGCGGGCGGCGCGGAUUUACACGCCACCGCCUGCCGCGUGCCUGCGCAUGCCACCGCUUGACCGCCCGCGCACGCCGCCCCCUCGCGUACCAGGCAUUAAUCGCCGGCGCCGAUUCACACGCCGCCGCCUGCCAUUCUGUGCCCUUGACCGCCCGCUCAGCUGCCCCCCGGCAUUGAUCGCCGGCACCCCACCCACCCACCACUAUGCCCUAUAAAGAGUGCCUCGCGCCCUCCGUCGGCUCGCGCACCACCCUCGCCUCGCCUCGCCUUCUUCCCCUGUCGCCGGCGUCGCCCUCUUGCGCCCUUCCCCCUCGCGUGCCGUACCUUUGUUGGAAAUAUGCCCUAGAGGCAAUAAUAAAUUAGUUAUUAUUAUUAUAUUUCAUUGUUCCUGAUAAUCGUUUAUUAUCCAUACUAGAAUUGUAUUGAUAGGAAACUCAGAUACAUGUGUGGAUACAUAGACAACACCAUGUCCCUACUAAGCCUCUAGUUGAUUAGCUCGUUGAUCAAUAGAUGGUUACGGUUUCCUGACCAUGGACAUUGGAUGUCGUUGAUAACGGGAUCACAUCAUUAGGAGAAUGAUGUGAUGGACAAGACCCAAUCCUAAGCCUAGCACAAGAUCGUGUAGUUCGUUUGCUAAAGCUUUUCUAAUGUCAAGUAUCAUUUCCUUAGACCAUGAGAUUGUGCAACUCCCGGAUACCGUAGGAGUGCUUUGGGUGUGCCAAACGUCACAACGUAACUGGGUGGCUAUAAAGAUACACUACAGGUAUCUCUGAAAGUGUCUGUUGGGUUGGCACGAAUCGAGACUGGGAUUUGUCACUCCGUGUAAACGGAGAGGUAUCUCUGGGCCCACUCGGUAGGACAUCAUCAUAAUGUGCACAAUGUGACCAAGGAGUUGAUCACGGGAUGAUGUGUUACGGAACGAGUAAAGAGACUUGCCAGUAACAAGAUUGAACAAGGUAUCGGGAUACCGACGAUCGAAUCUCGGGCAAGUAUCGUACCGCUAGACAAAGGGAAUUGUAUACGGGAUUGAUUAAGUCCUUGACAUUGUGGUUCAUCCGAUGAGAUCAUCGUGGAACAUGUGGGAGCCAACAUGGGUAUCCAGAUCCCGCUGUUGGUUAUUAACCGGAGAGUUGUCUCGGUCAUGUCUGCAUGACUCCCGAACCUGUAGGGUCUGCACACUUAAGGUUCGAUGACGCUAGGGUUAUAGGGAAAGUAUGUAUGCGGUUACCGAAUGUUGUUCGGAGUCCCGAAUGAGAUCCCGGACGUCACAAGGAGUUCUGGAAUGGUCCGGAGAUAAAGAUUGAUAUAUAGGAAGUAUGGUUUUGGCCACCGGAAUUGUUCCGGGCAUCACCAGUAGUGUACCGGGACCACCGGAGGGGUCCGGAGGUCCACCAGGUGGGGCCACCAGCCCCGGAGGCCUACGUGGGCCAAUAGUGGGAAGGGACCAGCCCCUAGGUGGGCUGGGGCGCCUCCCACCAAGGCCUAAGACGCCUCCAAGAGGGGAAGGGGGCAAACCCUAGGGCAGAUGGGCCCUAAGGCCCACCCUAGGUGCGCCUCCCCAUCUUCCCCUUGUGGCCGCCACCCUAGAUGGGAUCUAGGGCUGCCGCACCCCUUGGGGUGGGAACCCUAGGUGGGUGCGCAGCCCUCCCUCUCCCCCUAUAUAUAGUGGAGGCAAAGGGACAGCCCAACACACGAUUCAAUCUCCCUGUUGGCGCAGCCCUACCCCUCUCCCUCCUCGUCUCUCGUAGUGCUUGGCGAAGCCCUGCUGGAGUCCCGCGCUCCUCCACCACCACCACGCCGCCGUGCUGCUGCUGGAUGGAGUCUUCCCCAACCUCUCCUUCUCCCCUUGCUGGAUCAAGGCGUAGGAGACGUCAUCGGGCUGUACGUGUGUUGAACGCGGAGGUGCCGUCCGUUCGGCACUAGGAUCAUCGGUGAUUUGGAUCACGACGAGUACGACUCCAUCAACCCCGUUCACUUGAACGCUUCCGCUUAGCGAUCUACAAGGGUAUGUAGAUGCACUCUCCUUCCCUCGUUGCUAGAUUACUUCAUAGAUUGAUCUUGGUGAUGCAUAGAAAAUUUUGAAUUUCUGCUACGAUCACCAACAACCUAUUCCUCUCGCCGGCGAAGGCACGCCCCAACUUGACGCUUGAGGAGGCGGAGGAGCUCGCCCACUUCGUCAUCCCCGCCGCGCCCGACGUGCGCCAACCGGCGAGGUGGCGCCUGAGCGUCGAUGGCGUUCCUGUGGCGUCGGUGCCUGAGGUUGGCACCCACCUCUUCGCCCGCGCCGUCGGCCUGUACAGGGCUCGCCUAUCGCCGGAGGAGCUCGCCAACCCCCAGUACGUCCCCAACAACCCCGACUGGGCGGACCGCCUCGCCGACGAUCACCUGCGCCGCCUCCACGCCUACGCCGGCCCGCGCCCGCCCACGAAGCACAACCGCGCGCGGCGGCAUCAGCUCUGGGAUGGGCGCACCUUCGGGGAGGUGGUCGCGCCGUACCGUGCGCAGGCGGUCGCCGGCGCCGUGCCAGCUCCGCCGGGGUACGGCUUUGAGCUGUACCGCCGCGGCGAGGCGCGCUCGACCCGCGCCCGCGUCAACUUCGGCGCCAUGCACCCGCCUUUUCUCCUACACGAACGGUCUACGGAGAAGGAGGUCAAUUUUUUGACAUCUUCAGAAUGGCCUGAAAUUUUGCAUGUGAGUUAGUAUGCCCACUGCCACACAGAAUAGCACACUCACACAGAAUAACUGUAACACCCUCGAUGCGACUAUAGCUCCCAUGUGUCGAGGCACGACUUAGAGACAUAAUCGCAUUGAAGGCAUAUGUCGCAAGUUAGGCAAUCUUCACAAACAUCCCAUGUAAUGUAAAUAAUAAAGGGGAGAUAACAUAGUUGGCUUACACUCGCCAUGUCAAUCAAGUACAUAAAUAACAUUACAUCAUCCAAACACUCAUGGCCCGACUACGGCGCCAAAAUGAAAGAGAACCCAACAUGCGACACGGCCCCGUUCACCCCCAACUGGGCACCACUACUGAUCAUCGGGAAAGGAAACAUAGUAACAUUGAGAGUCUUCGUCGAACUCCCACUUGAGCUCGUACGCGUCUCCUGGAGCGGAAUCAUCAGGCCCUGCAUCUGGUGUAAUAGUAAUCUGUGAGCCACAGGGACUCAGCAAUCUCGCACCCUCGCGAUCAAGACUAUUUAAGCUUAUAGGUAAGGCAAGGUAAAAUAUGAGUGGAGCUGUAGCAAGCGACUAGCAAGUAUCGUGGCUAACUUAUUCGCAAAGGAAAGCGAGAAGAGGAGGCAAAGCGCGAGCGAGAAACUAGAGAGCAACCUGCGCAAACAUUACUCCAACACCGUGUCCACUUCCCGGACUCCGCCGGGAAGAGGCCAUCACGGUAACACACUCAGUUGAUUCAUUUUAAUUAAAUUAAGGUUCAAGUUAUCUACAACCGGACGUUAACAAAUUCUCAUCUGCCCAUAACCGCGGGCACGGCUUUCAAAAGUUCAAGUCCCUGCAGGGGAGUCCCAACUUAGCCCAUGACAAGCUCUCACAGUCAACGAAGGAAUAGACCUCCUCCCAAGACGUUCCGAUCAGACUCGGUAUCUCAGUAACUCAAGACACUUUGACAGAGCAAGACCAGCAACACCGCCCGAAUGUGCCGACAAAUCCCGAUAGGAGCUGCACAUAUCUCGUUCUCAGGGCACACUCAGAUAGGUCAAGCUACGAGUAAAACCAACCCUCAAGUUUCCCCGAGGUGGCCCCGCAGGCUGCCCGGUUCGGACCAACACUCAGAGGGAGCACUGGCCCGGGGGGGGGGGGUUAAAAUAAGAUGACCCGCAGGCUCCGGAAACCCGAGGAAAAAAGAGGCUAGGUGGCAAAUGGUAAGACCAAGGUUGGGCAUUGCUGGAAAAACUUUAAACAAGGCGAAAUAUCAAGGGGUUCCCAUUAUAACCCAACUGCAUAAGGAACACAAAAUCCGGGAACAUAACACCGAUAUGACGGAAACUAGGGCGGCAAGAGUGGAACAAAACACUAGGCGAGAGGCCGAGCCUUCCACCCUUUACCAAGUAUAUAGAUGCAUUAAGAUAACAUAGCAAUAUAAUGAUAUCCCAAUAAGUAAAUAAAAGAUGUUCCAACAAGGGACGACCUCCAAUCUUCACCUGCAACUAGCAACGCUAUAAGAGGGGCUGAGCAAAGCGGUAUCAUAGCCAAUCAAUGGUUUUCUAGGACAAUGGUGGGUUAGAGGUUUGACAUGGCAAUUUGGGAAGGCUUUCAAGCAAGUGGUAGGCAUCGUAGCAAUGGCAUAGUAAAAGAGCAAGCAAACUAGCAUAGCAAAGAUAGUAGUGAUUUCGAGGGUAUGAUCAUCUUGUUUGUACAGUUGUCAGAGUUGACUGGAUCCUCGAAAGCAAACUCAACGGGCUCCUCGUUAGCGAACUCGUCUCCCGGCUCUACCCAAACAAGACAAACAAGCAACAAGGAUACAAUCAACCACGUGCAAGACCAAGCAAUAUGAUGAAAUGAUGAUAUGUUAUGCGGGAUGCGAUGCGGGAUGCAAAAUGCAAGAUAUGACAGGAAACGCAUGAACCUGGCCUCAACUUGGGAUUUCAAGUGUGCCACUAGAAAGAUGAGAUGAAAUCGCUUGAAAACGAUAUAAAGAACGCCGGAAUCGGAGUUACGGUUUGGAAAUGGCAAGCGAUUCAAAAACGACACCGGUCUGCGAUUUACAGCAAGUAGGCAUCUAAAUGCAAUGAAAUGAACAUGCUACAACACCCAAACAUGGCAACAAAAUACAUGGCAGGAAAGCAUUCAAGAUGCUUAACAAAAGUCUAGCACUGAGCUACGGCCAAUUCAUCCAUUAGGAGGUUCAAACAAGCAUGGCAAAAACGCAAAUGGUAAAACAUAUCUCAGACUUAGUGAAAUUAACACUUGUCUGAAAUUUCAGAUCAUAUAGCCCUCUUCGGAGCAACAAAACAACAUGCUACAGGACCUGAACAUGACAAAGAAAGACAUGGCAUGGAGCUACUCAACAAGCUUAACAAAAGUCCCUUAGUGACCUUGAGCCAAAAGGGAUCACAAAAUAUACUAACAAGCACACGAACAUAGCAAAAACAUAAUCAGUUUUCCGACUUAGUGAAAACUGGGACAUGCUGAAACAUAACUCACGAAUUCAUGUUUACGAGCUCGAUGCACUCACCACGGUGCACGUCAUGGCAAGACAAGCAUACACCCCUUAAGAAGGCACAAAAUGCAAACUAGACAUGGUAAGAACAAUGGCAUAGCAUGCACGGAUCAACUACAAUAACAUCGGCAAAAUCGCAAACAAGUUGACGAUCUGCCCAGAUUCGCAACGAAGCAAAAGUAGAGCUCGAUUGACUCAAGCUAGGGUGCUCUAUAAUUGCAAACAAAGACAUUGAUGGAUAGAGUACUACAAGAUUAACAAAACAUCCUUACUGAUCAUCCUCAAAAGAGGCACGGAUCACUAGGAAACAACAUGAACAUAUGGCAUCGUGAGAUAAACAAUCCCAAGACUUAGUGAAAUCACUAAGUCCCUGAAAACAGAAUUAGCAAGUACACCACUUUGCAAGCUUGCACAAGUCACCACACACAUCCUAAAAAUACAUGGGUUGCACCUCUGGAGAGAUGACAAAACCCUUAACAAAACACAUGUAGAACUCACGGGCAUAUCAUGCACACAUUAAUCAUGGCAAAAAUGACAAAAGUGCUAAAUGGAGUAACAUAUCUGACAAUUAACUCAAGUAGCCCUCUUCUAACAGCAUUUCGGGCAUUAAGAUGAGCUCAAAUGAAAAUGAUGCAAUAGAAUAAAAUGAUGUACUCUCUGAGAUGAACAUUUUGAUAUGCUAUAUGCAUGAAUCGGAGCUACGGAUGCGAAGUUACGGAGCCGCGAACAUGGCAACUUGGAUCAGGAAUUUCGGGGACUUAGUGAAAAUUAUACCUUCGGAAAAAGUCAAACCGGGACGAAGUGGUGCGGGAGUGGUGCGGGACGGAGGGAUCCGGUUCGGGCGCGGGCGCGUUUGGAUGAAGGGAGUGGUGGAUCUCGUCCACCUUCUUCUCCGGAUCCGGCCGGCGAGGGACGAACUCCGGUGAGGGCGGCUCCGGUCGCCGGAGGACGACGCCGGCGAGGCAGCGGCUGUUAACGCCGGUGAACGGAGGCGGCGGGUGCGGCACACGAGGCGGCGGCACAUGGCGUGCGAGGCGGCGGCGCGCAGCACGGCGGCGCAGGCGGCGAAGACGGGCGGCGCGGCGAGNNNNNNNNNNNNNNNNNNNNNNNNNNNNNNNNNNNNNNNNNNNNNNNNNNNNNNNNNNNNNNNNNNNNNNNNNNNNNNNNNNNNNNNNNNNNNNNNNNNNNNNNNNNNNNNNNNNNNNNNNNNNNNNNNNNNNNNNNNNNNNNNNNNNNNNNNNNNNNNNNNNNNNNNNNNNNNNNNNNNNNNNNNNNNNNNNNNNNNNNNNNNNNNNNNNNNNNNNNNNNNNNNNNNNNNNNNNNNNNNNNNNNNNNNNNNNNNNNNNNNNNNNNNNNNNNNNNNNNNNNNNNNNNNNNNNNNNNNNNNNNNNNNNNNNNNNNNNNNNNNNGCGCGGCUCCAGGCGGUGAGCGUAGUGGCGUCGGGCUCGCGCAGGCACGGGAUCGGCGGCGCGAGAUCCGGGCCCGGGCGGGCCGGAUCUGGGUCUCCUUGGGCCCGCGGUGGGAGGAGAGAGAGGGCGGUGAGGUGGCGGCGCGGGGUUGGCUGAGGCGGCGGAGGCGGUGACGUGGCGGCGCGGGGUUGGCUGGAGUGAGGUGGCCGGCGAGAUGGACACGUCCGGCGCGGCGUGGAUGCGCCCGGCGGCGCGAGAGGAGGAGUUUUAGGGUUUCGUCCGUGAUUCGAAUGGGGGGAGAUAUAUAUAUAGGCAUAGAGGGAGCUAGGAGAGUCCAAAUGAGGUGCGGUUUUUGGCCACGCGAUCAUGAUCGAACGCUCUAGGACAUGGAGCAGAGUUUGGUGGGUUUUGGGCCAAAUUGGAGGGGUGUUGGGCUGCACACACACGAGGCCUUUUCGGUCCCUCGGUUAACCGUUGGAGUAUCAAACGAAGUCCAAAUGGUACGAAACUUGACAGGCGGUCUACCGGUAGUAAACCAAGGCCGCUUGGCAAGUUUCGGUCCAAUCCGGAAAUGUUUAAUCCUCACACACGAAAGAAAGCUAGAAAUGACCACCGGAGGAGAACGAAGCGCCGGAAUGCAAAACGGACAAUGAGGAAAAUGCUCGAAUGCAUGAGACGAACACGUAUGCAAAUGCAAUGCAUAUGAUGACAUGAUAUGAGAUGCAUGACAACGACAACAACACACGGAGACAAAGACCCGAACCCGAGAAAAUAAAUAUAACUUAACGUCGGAAACGGCAAGAGUUGGAGUACAAAUAGGGAAAGUUACAUCUGGGGUGUUACAAUAACCAUACGCAAUUUGAAGGAUGUAACAAAAUUCUCCGUCGGGACGUACAAAAAAAAUCUUUAAGCGCGGAUAGUCAUACCUUACAACACUUAUACAGGUCAUGCUAUAUCAGUCCAUAAUAAUUGUGAAGUGACAUAGCAGAACGUACAUAAGCAUAAUGAGGUAUGGCUACCACAAUUAAAAAUUUGAUGUUGUAGACGAAUGAAGCUAUUUAAACACGUUAUUAGCCGUGAAAACUAGCAAUGUGGGACUAAAAAAACAACACUGUGGGCGGUUGGCGCCACUAGAGGCGCACACACGGCCGGCCGCCACCUCUUCACCCAUGCGCGCCGUGGGCCGCCCAUGCGCGCCGUGGGUUGCCUGCCUAGCCCAGCAGUUUGUGCCGCGCGCGCCGGAUGUUAAAAAAAAUUCAUUGCAUAUUUAUUUUUCAUGCACUAAUUUAUAUUUUGUAUUCAACAUGGACGAAACGCACCCAAUUUUUGCAUGCGCGUGUGAGUGUGAGUGACCCCCACGGUCUCGCACGUCAGAUUAGGAUGGAAUCGGAGUACGAACGGAAGUUGCGUCACGUCGGGAGACAUUUUCUGGGUAUUUUCACGGAGAAAAUCGUAGUAAAUGCAUCGAGUGUCGAAACGCACCCAAAUUUUGCAGGUGUGCUUGUGUGCCAUACUGUAGCGUGUGGAAAAAAAAUCCCGAUGUUUCAUGGCUUUGCGAAAGGGAACACCUAUUGAAUGCAUGUCACACCCCAAACCACACCUCAGGUUUGUACUGUGAGUAUGUGCCAACAUGGACGAAACGCAUCCAACUUUUGCGUGCGCGUGUGACCCCCACGGUCUUCCACGCCAGAUUACGAUGGAAUCGAUGGUGUGAUUCCAUGUUCCAUAGAGAAGUGGAUAAGUCUCGUUGAAAAAUUUACCACCGCUCAAUGAUUUAGGUUCUACAAAACAGGCUUGGAAGAGAUGUUGAUCAUUCCGUCAGUACAAAUGAGAGAUUUUUUGCUACAUUUUAUGAUGUUAGGUUAUAACCCAAACAGCAAAAAAUUCAUGAUACAAGAACAUAGUGGCAGUAAAGGCCUUAUUUCACUUAGACCGGACGAUGUGUUUUCAAUAUUUGGGUUUAAGAAUAAAGGUGAGGAUGUUUUUGGCAUUCUUGCGAUGGAAGGAAAAGAAUUAAUAAAGAAAAUUCCUAUUCAGUACGUUCACAAAAAAAUGGUCACAUAAUGAUAGAUGACUUGAUUCAAAAAAUUGUGAGGAAUAAAUCCGCCAACGAUGAAUUUCUUCGGAUGGUUGUUCUUGUUUUGCUGGGGACCAUUAUUGCACCCAUGUCGGCUGUCUCCAUACCAAAGGAGUACUACGCGUUGGUGCAUGACGUGAAGCGGAUAAGCACGUUGAAUUUUAACGUGUUCACUUUGUUAACUUGUUUGACGGAGAUUGAUAAACUCAAGCAGGACGGCCGUGUGAGGCAAUGGCCAUGUGGCAACCUAGCCCUACUCCAGGUAUGCUAUUAAUUAAUGCUAUUUCAUAUUCCUUUAAUUUAUGCGUUCGUAACUUAUUUUGUCAUUUUUUUGUAGUACUUAUAUUGGGAGAAGGUGCAGCCAACCACCGGCCAUAAAAAUGACCCGUUGUCGUUGCAACUUCCCCUAAUGAAAAAUUGGACUGAAUCUAAAGCGGAGAAACGAGACAAGUACGACCUGGAAAAUGGUCGUGGCCAUGGAUUGGUAAUAUUAUAAUUCUUAUUUACUAGUACAUUGAUUAUGCAUUGAGAAUGUUAUGUACUCAUGUUGUCAUUGCAUACUCACUUUGCAGAUUGAUGACUGCAUUAUGAAGGAGUAUAGAAUGAAAAAACUUGCAGAUGAACAAGCUAAAAGCAGUAAGAAACAUAGUAGCCAAAAGUCAUCCAUUACGGGAAAGAAAAAAGUGGACAAUGUGUCCGAGGUCCCUGCUAAUCUAAAGCCUUUUAUGGACCGGGUUAUGAAUGAUAUGAAGGAAAUUCGCAAGGAAUUAUUUCGUAUGCCGGAGUUAUGCGCACAGGUAAAAAUGUAACAACUCUGGUAUGCACUCUAUUAAAAUCGAUAAAUUAAUAAAAAGAUAUAACAUGUGACUGAGCUUAAUUUUGCAGAGAUUGUUAGAGAAAAUGAAUAAAACAGGUGUACGGUACAAACCGGGCACAAUGGCAGAGGAGGAAGAAAAUCUGUAUGGACAGAAUAGUGAGUCCAGUUAUGAAAACAAGUAUCCUAGAAAAUAAUUUCAGUAUGAUGACAAACACACACCUAAUGGCCGAAAUGGCAGUGGGCAUUAUGAUUUGGAUUCUGAAGAAGGGGAUUCGUUUAAAUUCAGUACUGGUCACUUGAGUAGCUUUAAAGAUGAGAAGGAGGAUCCUAUAGAUGUCCCGGAGCAGUCAGAAAAAAAGAAGCAUCAUCUCUAAAAAUCGAUGAAAUAGAAGCUACAAGAUGACAAGUCCCUCAAAAUGAGCAAGAAGUGUCACAUGCCUUGUCAGAUGGUAAUAGCGAGGUAGAAGAGAAGAAGGAGGUGAUUCCAGAGAAGCGAAAGUGGUGUGCAUCAAAGUACACAAAAUCUCCUCAUGUUAAAAAGACUCCGAGAAAACGUGCGAAAUGUUCCGCGAAAACGAGUAAGUUAAACAUGCUAUGAAUAUAUUUUUGGAAAUUAUGUAGUACAAAUUUGUACUUUAACUUUAUUGACUUGUGUUGUAGAACUGUUUAAUGAAACAACCCCUCAAUUUGAUCAUUCUGUGGAUGAUAUGAUGCGUGCCGCUGUGCAGUAUGUGAAAGCGUACAAGCACUCACCAAAACAUAAGAACCAUGAAAUAUUCAACAACGAUAAAGAUGAUAAACUUUCUGCGUCAAGAGUUUGCCAGAUACUUAACCAUGCAUGAAUAUCCGGUGAUGUAUGUAUUUUUAUUGUCAUGCUUAUGUCAUACGUUAAGUAUGUUGCAACCAUGUUAAAUUUAGUCAUUUAUUUCAGGUAAUUGACACUUAUGCGACGUACAUAUCGGAUUCAAGUAUCGUUAAAGACAGGUAUCUUGUACCCACACAUAGAUCUUACUGGUUAUUGAACACUCGGUCAAACUCAGUAAGACGAGGAAAGUCGAUAGACGAUCCAGAAGGUUUAGCACAUGCAAAUGAACCUCUCAACAGAUGCAUGACAGAAUAUUUUGCAAAACCGAAGGUACCGUUUGUAUUGCAAAAUUGUAUUUUCAUUACUAUCUUAUGUAAAAGCCGAGCUUACUAACAAUAUUUAAGUUAUGAAAUAGGCUUAUUUUGCUUUAAAUAAGGAUAAAAACCAUUGGAUUACAUGUGUUUUGCACACUAGAAAGAAAGAGUUCCAAAUUCUUGAUUCUUUGAGGGGGGAAGAAAAUAUCUCUGAAGCUACCAGGAAAUUCGUUGAAAUUUUUGUAAGUUUCGUAUUCAUGUGUGUACAAUUAACCAUAUAAUUUGUUUACCGUAUGUAGUCAACGUGUUCAUAUUUCUUUGUCAGAGAGAGCAACUUGCAGGAGAUAUUCAAGAUGCAAAUGACAGUGCUAUUAUGUCGUUCCCGGAUGUGUCCGCAUGGCCUAUAGUCCCCUACGACAUGCCUCAACAAGAAGAUGGGUGAGUUACAUGUAGCAUGUGCUUUUGAAAUACAUUAAUUGAUCAAGUGCUAUCUUACUUAACGUGCUUUCAAAAUUGCAUUUAUGUUUUUUUAACACAGGAACUCAUGUGGACUGUUCGUCCUUCGCUGUUUUCAAUACUAGGACGAAGAAAAAUUUAUUACUGCUAUUUCUCAGAUGGGUACUUUUUAAGUAUGAAAAAUUAGUACAUUAUAUCAUAUAUAAGUGAUGAAAAUAAUAUUAUUUUUAUUACUUUUCAGGAAUCUAUUGAUAGUUCGAGAGAAAGAAUGAUAGCUGGAAUUAUUAUGUCCCCGAAAAUAAGCUUACAGAAGUGAAGAACAAAGUAAUUUGACUUGCGAAGAGGAAACAAAAAUAAAAAUAUCAUACGACAAUUCUACAUGAUUGCCGAAAUAUUAUUUGUUCAUGACUGAGGAUUAUGUGUGGAUGCUUUAUUUUUUUAUGUGAGUUUCAAAUAUUUUUAGCAUGUCAAGUUUAUGUACCCUGGCAAUUUUAUUAAAAAUACAUUUUAAUCAUUUCUUAUUUUAUUAUUUAAUUUAUAAUUUAUGUUCAAUAAGUGUUCUCGCGAAUAUACGAUUUGGGGUUUUAAAAUACUUCGAUGAUAUAUGAUGACGAUCUCAGAGGCGAGCGCCGGCCGCGCCGCACGUUCGCCGCUACAUGGCGCACGUGGGCCGCGUCAUCUGGCCAGCGGGCCCGCGCCGCGCGUCGCCCUAGGGUUGGCCGUUGCCGGCCCCGAGGUUGAUUCUACAUCGGCCCGCGUGCGCGCCUCAGCGCCUGAGGGCGGUGUCUACUGGAUCCUCCUCGUAUGUGCGCCCCUCUGCGGCCGAGGGCGGCGUCAGCCUCGGGAUCGCCCUCUGUGUCGGCUCCUGAAUCCUCCUCGUACGUACCGCCUCUUUGCGCCCGCUGGCGCAACUCACGGGCCAGCCGCGCCUGUUAACGUUAUUUUUUUAAAUUAAAGCAACCGGCGGCUGUGCAGCGUCUCUGAUCGCCCAACAUGCAUUAUUUAUACACAAAAUCAUAUAUUUGUACGAAAAAAUUGUAUUAUAUUACAUAUCAUAUUAAAUUUGUAUAAUGCAUAUCAUAUUAUAACGUAAAAUUUGUAUGUCGCAUAUCAUAUUAAGCACAAUGAGUAUAGUGCCAACAAAUAUGACAUAAGUAAACACCGAUUACAAGUCUCCCGUAUCGAUGUAACGAAACAAAUAUGUAAGUAUUAUUCUUUAAGACAACCAAAUAAAUCGUCAACUGUAAUCAGAAGUUGUUCUCUUUAUUCAAACAUUUCUUUGCUAUGAUCAUCAUGCCAUGUUCCUGCAUAGAAAAAUUGUAAUAUACGUCAAAAUUUUGUAAAGUAUUAACUAAACAAGAAAAGAACGUUAAUGAAAUGGUGUGCACAUAGUUUGGAUUCUGAGGACAAUUGUUUUUGAAAUGACCUUUUCCUCUGCCUAAACCGCAUAGACGUACAUGAGGUUUCUCAUCAAAACCUUUGGGUCUACCGUUUGUAGUCACGCCAGGUUCCUUACCACGGCCUUUGUUAUUCUGCCCUUUCGGUGCUCCUUUCGUAUUGAUUUUUUCUGGAUCACCAACAAAAACAUGAUUUUGAUUUGGCACAAAAGCAUCAUCAUGUGCAACUCUAUGCUGUCUCACAUAAUCUUCCUUCUGAACAUCCUUAUUUGCUAUCACAUCCUCCAGAGCAGCCUUCAGUUUAUCAAAUAGAAAUGGUUUAUGACAUGCCGCAUGAUUUGCUUUCGCAGACAAAAUAGUCAACUCACUGUACUUAGUUCUCUCCUCAGUACCUGCCCAUCCCCAUGCGAAGAGAUCGCUCGUGCGUUUCACGGGCAGUCCACCUCUAGCAUUCUUGCUGAAUCUUCACAGCACUAAGCACCUAGAUAAGUCCUGCACGUUCAACCUGGCUAAAACAUAAAGAACAUGCUUGCAUGGAAGACCUUUACGUUUCAUACUAUCACAACUGCACUUCACUGUUUCUUCUGAAUUACUAGGUGUAUAGUCCACUUGGAAUCUCAGUUGCCUGUUAUUUUUCCAUGAAACUGUGAAUCUCCUACUGACGGCUCCACUCAGUCUAUCUAUGAUCUUAAGAUCCGCUGCCUUCUUCAUUUCUUUCUGCAAGAGGUAAAAGUUCACCGCAGUGAAGUCACGGGCAGCGGCUUUUUCAAUGCAUUUGAACUCGUCGAGUACUGGUACAGGGAGUGUCUGUGUGGACAUGCAGUCGUCGUGUGACUCGUUCUCACGGAGCCGAACAAUGCAGUUCUCAUAAUGCACAACCAUAUCAACAAUUGUCAUGCCAGAGUCAAGAUGCAUAUGAAGGCAAGAGUCUAGACUCUCGCUCCUCUGGUUACUCCGCAUACCAAGGAAGAACCCACUGGUGAGAUAUGACGCAGCCCAAAGCCUUUUCUUCGGGUACAUCCUACGCAAUCAUGUUUCAGUUUUCUCCGACUCACAUUUAGCUCUAAAAGCUGCCCAUCUCGCCUCAAACUCAUCAUGUGUAGUGGCAUAAUAAAUAAGAGACCUGAACUCCUUAAGGGACUUGUGGUGGAGGUGUUUCUGCAUGUUUUUCUCAAUAUGCCACGAACAAAGUCGAUGCCACACGUCAUUAAGGACCUUCCUGACGGUCCUUAUCAUGGCUGCGUCUCCGUCAGUAAUUACAGACCUCGGCUUCUUCUCACAAUGAGCUCUUAAGAAGGUAUGCAACAUCCAAAUGUAUGUAUCCUCCAUCUCAUCUGACACAACUGCACAACUGAACACAGUGGUGCAACGAUGAUUGUUUAGACCAACAAAAGGUAUGAAUGACAUUCCGUACCUAUUAAUCUUGUAAGUGCUGUCGAAGAUGAUUACAUCACCAAAGUCAAAUUAAUCCCGACGUGAUUGAGAAUCACACCAGAACAUGUUCUUCAGCUUUCCUUCUGCGUCAACAGUGUGCUCAAAGAAAAAGUCUGGAUCCCUUGUCUUUCUCGUCAUCAUGAUACCAAUCACAGUGUCCGCAUCACCCUUUACUAGCAACUUCAUUUUCUCCCUAUAACACAUGUUAUAAAGCUUCCUCCUCCCGAAACCAGCCAGUGCAUAUGAUCCAUACCUACUAACGAAGUUGUCAUAAAUCCAAUGUUUUUUGAGCCCAGCACCUGCCAUUGCUAAGAUCUCGAGCUUCUGGUAUUCCUUUAUCUGAUUAUGAGAUCGAAGAUAUAUAACUUCAUCUGGUCUAGCAAGAGUGUGACUAUGAUCAUCGCUGAAACUGCUGACAUACCAAAUGGAGCGCUCUCUGUCAACCUUCACAGUUAGAUGGGCCUUGCAAUAGCACCGAGUCUCCGCUCUCAGCCUGCGCUUCUUCCCUUCCAUGGUACAAAACUUGGCCUAUCGUUUCCCAGACCUUGAACAGAGAAACCUCCUCAACCGCCUACGUGCGUCGAUACCCUUACUAUAUUUCAAGUUGUCCUUCCUAAUGCUGAAGCCACGCUUUUUCGCAUAGUCGUUAUAGAAAUCAUAUGCCUCCUCGUCUGUCCUGAACGUCGUGGACAUCACCGUCCAAUGCCUGUCCAGUGAUUCUUGCUGGUAUUCAUCAUACCCAGUAUCAAAAUUGCACUCAUCACCAUCGGCAUCAUCAUCGUUUUCGCACGUGUCACCAUCCUCUUCCUAAAAAAAAUACAAACAACUGUAUAUGUUAGUAAAUAGUUGUAUAAGGACUAUCAUAUGUAUUCACUUUCCACUACUUAGUUUGCUCGAGCUGUCAUUAUAAGAUGCACCGAUAUCGUUUUCGUCAUUGGCAUCAUCGAAAAAAUUUCACUGAUAGUACCCUUCCACUUCCAUCUGCGCAAAUUGUAAAUAUGAUAUAUAAGACUUGAUGCGUAUUUAAUUUCACUUUAAAAUAACCUACAUAAAUCUAAACCUACAUGGCUUCCGCUUUCAGCAUAUGAAUCAUCUACAUCCAUAUCCUCAUUGUCAUCAUCCCCUCCUAUCUGAUCACAGUCAAACAUGUUAUUGUCAUCGCGGAUGCUUGUAUUUAAUAUGGUUGAGAACAUGCAGACCACUUACAUUGCCAUUGUAAGACUCAUCCAAACUCAUAUAAUUUUCGCCAUCAUGUUCGUCUUCAUCCAAUGACAAUGAUCCGUCGUCGCUACCGCCAUCAUCAUCGUCAUAUCCUAUUUCAACCUCAAUCUAUACACGUUCAUAUAUAAUCAAAUAUACAUUCAAACAUCACAUAACAUCUUCUCAAUUAAAAUCCGUUCUUAAAUUACCAUGCCAGCGCCUCGCGUACCUCGUUGCUUGUCGCCGGAUACGAGCUGCCGGCGGCGGGGCGGAGGCGUCUGCCCGACCGAGGCGGUUGUCGGUGUAGCGCACAACGCAUACGGUUUUUUUUCGUCGGCCAGGUACUGCCGGAGAUGGCGACGGCGGCGCGAGAGGAGGCGGGUGAGGCGUGUUGAAGAUAGGGUUCGCCGAUCAUUUUUUUAAUCACUCGGGCGUACGCAGCGGGCGCGGGCGGGCGUGCAUGCGGACGUGGGCGGCCGUGCGCGACAGCGCCGUACGGCGGGCGGGUAAUAUUAUACGGCGUGUGAAAAUGACCGCCCUACCCUUUAUACGUCUUGGGGGGGGGUUGUACCGAAGACCACCUCUUUCUCGUCAAUCUUCCCUCAGGAUCCCCCGCUUUCUUCUCUCAUCUCUCAUUAAAUCAAAUCCCGCUUUAAUAUAAGCCCAGUGUGCCAGCAUGAGCCUCCCCCACACUUUCUUCUCUCAUUUAAUCUCUAAUAAUUACCCACAACCAUGGAAAGUACGAGCCCGCAUUCUUCUCUCAUCAAAUCUCUCUCUCUCUCUAUUUCCCACAAUCCGGCUUAAUUAUGGGUGCAUGUUUUCUCCUUCUAUCGAGUCGUCAUCUUCUUUCCGUCUGUUUAUUGAUUCUCAACAUGGCUUGCUGAUAUUUUAGACAACUUGCAAGCGUAUUUAAAUUGGUGAAACUUGAUAUAAAGAACCGAGGUGGGACUAUCUAUAGCAAAAAAGGCAAGGUAGCUCGUUUGGCUGGGGACACCUCUGUGUCACGGGAGGUUGUGAGUUCAAACCUCACUUGAUCGCUUGUUUUUCUAACUGGCUACUAUUUUUUUGCUGCUCCCGAAACGGCCCAGUUUGGCCCAUGCAGGGGAUGCACGGAAAAAGAAGAACUACAAGGAAGCCCACGAACAGAAUUCAGCACAUACAUAUUUUUUAGUACCACCUCGAAUAUAAAAAAGAAUUGAAUCUCAAAAAAUAAAAAAAUAAUAAUAUGGGUGAACGGAUGAAAAUUUUAAAGAAACGCACCUUGCUUUAUUAGUAGGGGUAUAGAUAGAUUCACUGUGGGCUGGGAUGGUUGAAUUCACGUGGUCAUUAUAGAGGCAUGUGGAUUGGUGUUGUUCCACGCGCCUUUGCAUGGCUCAUGCAUGUGGCCACGUUACUAUGUGACUUUGACGGUUGUUUCUUUCGUCGCCACGUUUCAGUUUUUAAAUCGGUUUGUGUUAGUAGCUGGCCUCUGCGAUCUCUCUCGAAGUCUCCCUUUGCGCCGCUCACCGUGUAUAAAAGCGCUCGCUCCGGCCACCUCACCUCUGCAUCGCCCCGCUACCAAACUAGAGCAGCUCCCACGCCUCACCUUACCGCCGGCUGUAUGCCAUCACCAGGCCCCCAUAUCUCCCUCCCAACUCCCAUGUAGGAACCCCAUCUCCUCUUCGCGUGGCUGACGUGAUGUCGCACGCAGGAGUAUGGAAAGUAGUGCGUCUAGGCCGUGACGGCGUGUCGUUCCCGUCGUCGUCGUCGUGGGCCCUUGCAAGAGGGUUAGGCGGCGCUGUGGUGGAGGGUACUACGCCGGAAUGGGAAGGCCACGGUCCGGUGCUCUGGGCUACCGCGAGAGCAGCUUUGGCUGGGAGGGAUACUGCUCAGGCGUUUGGUGCGGCGGCAGGGUGCGCAGCUCGCACAUCCAGUUUGGCGGCAGGGCGUUGGCACAGCGCCACCGGCGCCGAGGCAUGCGAAGAACAAGACGGCAACACCGCGGGCCGCCUCGGCGCACAUCGUAGUCGUCCACCUCGACAUCUCGGCGUACGCUCAUGAACCGUCACGGAAGCCGUCGCGGAUGUUGAGGACAGGGGGCCACCGAUGGCGCAUCCGCGGAGGGGACGCUCCGCCGUGCUACCACCUGACGUUGAUCCUCCUCCUCUGUUGGCCGUCUCACUUAGCACACGGCCAUACUCUAGCCGGCUGCUUCGGUCCGGCAAUUGGCUGAUACGACCACGUGUUCUGUCACUACCGAGGUUACUGUUAUUUCAUCUGAAGAUGCAGAACACUUUGUCUCGAUUAUUACGAGUGAAACUACUAAUUUGCAUUGCACUGACAAGAGGAGGAAUGUGCAUGUCAAGAAACGAGCUAGACACAUGUUACCAAGUCAUCCAUGCAUGCAAGCAAUGACGUGUAGAAUUAGGAUUGAGCAAACAAAGGAAUCUGCAUGCAAAUUUGAUCAGUUUUUGUUUGGUCCAGAGAUAAACAAGGCCACGUGCAUCCGUAAGAUAUUAGUCCUGUACGGAGUCCUGACCAAGUACGUUUUCCAUCAGGUGCGGCCACCCGAUCAAGGAGUAUACUCGUGGACGACUAUGAAGAUUGAAGAAUUGCUUUCUUUAAAAGGAACAGGAUGGGGUCCACCUACACAUAGCACAAGAAGCCGCACCAUCAAACAAGUCGUCGUUGCUUUUGUUUCCUUAGAUCGGAUUAGAUAAACCAAGUCGGUUAGUAUGUUUUGGUAGGUCAAGUUUGUGUUUUCCUUGAAUUAGGGGUGUGGCUAGCGUGUUAGACCAAACCAUGGUUUGGUCAGCUAUAUUACUAUAAAUAGCCAUAGGUCGGCCAUUGUAAAGAGGAGGUUAUGAUUUAUGAAUAGACACGAUGUGUUCUUAGGGUAAAUACCCAUAUCGAGUUUUGGAGGAAGCUCUAAAAAUCCCUAAGUUUCGAAGGAAGCUUUAGAAAACCUCUGUGUUGCGAUUUCUCUUCGUGGAAACUGUUUUGCGCAUGAGUACCGUCGUCGAGAUUGGUUUUCUCGUGCUGGACCGUAAGGUUCAAUCCCUCUACUUCGCGUAUAUCACGUGCGCGGGCGAGAGGCUACUACUGCCGAAGGUGAAGUGUCAUGAAAGGUCGGGCCGCAACAACGGAUCGGAUCUCGCCACGAGGUCCGGUCUACAUCACUGGCUGUCUCACCGGGCGAGUUCUACCUCGCGCACCACUGCCGGGCGGCCUCCCCUUCCUUGCCUGAAGAAAAGCAGUUGCAGCUCACAGAAGACGACAUGCUGACCACGCCGACAGAGAAGGUUGGACGUUGCGGAGCAGGCGAUGUCGAGGCCCGUGUGGCUGAUGUGUAUGGUCUCUCUCCCGCCCCUCCGAUUCUCUAGCUAGAAGUUGACAUUUCGGAAAUUAUUCUCUGUCCCUAAUUCUCUUCUUUUUAUUGUGCUUCUUUUGUUUGUAUUCACGCCUCGAGCUGAUGUUCUGAAGUGUGGUUGUACAAAAUAUUGUCAGAUCUCUUUCCAUGCACAUUAGUUUGUUUUAAUGCCUUGGAGUAGAAAUCAAAUCGACAGGGAUACAAACUUGAGAAUGAAGUUAUAUGUUUGCUGGAUUUUGUUUAAUGUAUCUACAUAUAGUGCUUUCUUGUGAAUAGUUUGAAAUUUUGAUGCACUGUCGGUUUUUUUGCCUUCCACUCGGCGACUCUGCAUCUCAUAGUGCUUUCUUAUGAAUAGUUUGAGAGGCAGGUUGUUAUUGUACACAUGCCUAGGUUGUUACAGAUGAGGCAUCUGUGAAGCAACUUUCUGAAUGAGCAUAAACAUCAUGGAGGACUUCAAGAACCCAAAUGUUCCCAAGGCCUCAAAUUUAGAGAGUUCAUCAGAUAAGGGCGAUGUUAAUGUUGGCGUGAAGUCAACAGAAAACCUGAUGGAACAAGUUGCAUUUUGAGACAGUAGCUGAACUUCACUGGUUGAGUUGCAGUGGUGUCUCUCCGUUUAUCCAGAUUACCUAAUUGAUUCUUCUUUGUCAAUUGGAUCCUUUUUCUAGAGGAGUUGCUCUUUUAAUUUCAGUGUGGAUAACUGAAGUAAAUGAUCGGCAGGACGGAAAGAGAAUUGUGUAAACUAAUUGUUAGCAUUUUCAUGUUCAAUAGCGAAUGUAUGGCACCAUUCACUAGGCAAUUCUCUGGGUAAUAAUGUGAGGCUAGCCAUAGCGGGGGUAACUUAGGUAGUAACUUAACACAUCUCAAGACAAUUUUGUUUAUGUGGCAAGUAUUUAAUAAGGAGAGAAGUGUUUGGAGUAACAUAAUAUGUUACUGUAACAUAGCGCUUCCCGAGGUAAAACGAAUCUAUAAGGCAAUAAAUAAAACAAUCUAUGACACUACUACUAAGAUACUUUGCACUAUGGAGGUAGUAACUUAAACUAGUGUCAUAUGCAUGACAUUAGUAUAAGUUACUCCCCACUAUGACCAGUCUGAGCUAUCUUUCUAUCAGUUUUGCAUUUUUCACGAGAGCACUGAUAUGUUUUCUCUACAGGUUUAGGGGCUUAACUAACCUAGAACCAUUCUUCGCCAUGGAAACCAUACCUCCAUCCUGGCACUAAAUUUCGGUGCCGGUCAAGAGAAAGUUCAAGCUUGCCAAGCGUAGCUUUCUUUGGUCUGAUCUAAUCAUGGAGGAAAUGUAGGAAAAUUAGAUGGAUUAUGGAUGGAGUAGCUACUACUCCCUCCGUCUGAAAUUACUUGUCGCAAAAACACAUAGAAAUAAAUGUAUCUAGAACUAAAAUACAUCUAGAUACAUUCAUUCUUGUGACAAGUAAUUCUGGACGGAGGGAGUACAUUUCUGAAGUAUUGCCAAAUAGUAAACUGCGCGCAAUCGUAUAUUAUGAGCAAGUGUCUUUAAGAAAAACAGUGGAGGGCUUCCGGUUCCCGUGUCAUUCUUUCCUUAACCGUCUGUAUCUCUUUUGUAGGGAGAUGUCAUAGAAGACAGUAAAACCUAUUCUACUUCCUAAUUUGCUCAACGCGUGUGUAAGUGUAACCUGCUGCACUUUUUGUCUCUGGGAUUAUAAAGGGAAUUCAGACGGUUUCUUUUCCUUAGUUUCUGAAUUGGGGCCAUUUCUUGGACCAUCUCUUUAUGAAUUUGGUAGUGUUGGGCAGAGCCCAUUGUAGCGCAUUCUGCAGAAGGUAGGGGCUCAGUCUUGGGAAGAGGAUUUGUAACAGCGUAUCCGCGGCAGAAAUAAAAUUAAAAAUUCUAUGCAUAGAAAAAAGGUUUUUGGAUGGAUUUUAGUUCAGACUAUAUUUUCUUCACCACGGAUACAUUUCUUGCUAUUUUCUACAAAAUUUCAUAUUGGAGACAACAAUCAGUAUGGAGCGGCGUGCCUUCACAACAUAAUCAUCGAUGACCACAACUACAAUGCUUUGAAGACAAUGUACUGGCGCUACUCGGCCGCGUAAGAAUAGAGCAGGACCAAGGAUGAAGAGUUAGAAAUAUAGAAAGAACAAAAAGCAAGUUUUCAGCAAGACAAAUCAACACGAACAAGGAUCCUCGAGAAAGUUUGUCUCCAGUUUGAUAUCUUGCCGAUCCGUCUAAAACCAAGACAUGCAUCCAACUACUGAACAUUUUUUUACACUCCAAACGAACCACCACAAACAAGAGCAAAACAACUAGCUUCGUCUCUCUACCACUACAUUACAUAGACAAAUCCAGCCUGAGGAUCAACAUCUUUAUGCGCCCAGUACCCACUAUAUUACUACAUACUAUAAAUCUUUUAUGUAUGUGCCAACUAGAUGAACCGUUUCCUGUAUAAACUACUUCGCCACAAUUCUCCUACCUAUGUACCAACUUGAUGUACCAUCCACUUGUAUGAAGUAAUUUACCACAAUCAAAUUUGGGACGACUUACAAAAAAUUACAAAAUAACUAAAUAGCUGAUUAGUCCAUGUAGCGCGGCGUGCCGCCGCGCGCUACCCGCUAGUAUAGACUACAUGCCGAGCAAAAUGGGUGAAUCUCACUCUAAAAUCCGUCUAUAUGCAUCUGUAACUAAUCCACAUUGAAAUCUCUAGAAAGACUUGUAUUUAUAAACGGAGGGAGUAUUUGGGUUGUGUAGAGUGGGGACAAACAUGAAUUUUAUGGCAUGAUUCCAUCUUUUAGUAGCAAGAAAUGGUCGAAAAUAUUCCAGCAAAAAGAAAAAAAGAAACGGUUGAAACAAAAGGUAAUAGCACUGCAGGUCCUUGAACUUGUCCUCUAUGUGAUGGUUUGGUCCUUAAACUUGCAAAAAUGGAUUAUUUGAUCCUUGAACUUGUUCUCAAUGUGCACAUUUGGUCCUGGGCCAAUCAACAACAACCAAGUGGAGCCAGCUAGGCCGAGCCGAUCAGUGUCACAAUUUUUGCGUUUAGCCCCUUUCUAUUUAUCGAGAUUAACCCACGGGAUACCUCUGCUGGAGUGGAUAGCUAGCUCUCUGUAGCCUCGCCUCGACGCACCCAUGCCAGCUGCUUGACAGCGGGGACGCGCGGAGGAACACGUCGGCCGAGGUGCCUAGGCUCGGCCGGGGGCGGGACGGUGGCACCGUCGUGUGGCGGCGAGGAGACGGCCGGGAGGUACUCAUCGGUGUGACGCGCGAAGGUGGAGCGGCUGAAAUGCCUCAUCAGCCUCUGCCUACCCUGCAAAGACCAAGGGCUCACGGUGCCAGAGAACAAACGCAUGAAUGCAAGCAUGCAUCGACGACAUGGAGGAGUUUUGUGCGUGCGUGCACAUUCGUUACCUGUAUGUACGCGGCGCCGAUGUUGAUGAUCUUGCCGCUGCCGAGCGACCGGUUCCAGCGACGUCCGUGCAGGCGUAGUGCAGCCCGCGCGCCGCGUCGGCCGUCGUGAGGUUGACGAAGGCGUACCCCUCGUUGCUGCAACGCUGCCUGCUUUAAUUUGCAUGUUGCAAAACAGAAGAAGAUAGUGACCGUGGAGUUUUUGAACUGUUGGAAGAUUCAUUCAGGCUAGAAGACCAAACUAAUUAAAGUUAUGCAUGCUUUCAUUGGUUGUUUGUUCCCUGGCUUUCUUUGGUUGUUUGUCGCUCGAAGAGCUCUUCGCCGCGCUGCGCCUGCCCCACGCCCUCGCUGGUGUCACGCUCCUCUCGCUCGACAACGGCGCGCUGGUCGGCGCGCUCUUCGUGACCACCGUCGUCGCGCUCGCUGCCGUCGUGGAGAUGCGCGGGUUCGUGCGCGACCUCUGCUUCCUCUUCUUCGCGCUCUGCAACUUGUGCGCAUGCUCGUGAGCGGCACGGUCAACGUCUGGGUGACCGCGUCCUUCGUGUCCAUCUACGUGGCCUACGUCAUCCUCGUCUGGACCUCCCAGUGCUGCGCCGAACCGGGGAAACCGCCACACCCCGACCUCGCGGCAUCGCUCCUCCUAGAGGACGACGACGACGACGUACCUCCCCUACCGUCCUACUCCUCCAAGAUCACGCAGGCUCCACGACAGCAGCCUGCCUGCAUUACCUCGUGUGCGAGCUCCGUAUGCCGUUGUACCUCCUGCGCCGCCUCACCCUCUCGGACAUCGCCGCGUACGCUGGUCUCGGCCCUGCGCCGUGGCCUUCGCCGCGUUGGCGCUCGUGCUCCUCGCCACGACAUGGACCUCGCACAACCCGGCGAAAUCAUCCUCGCGCCACGCCGCCACCACAACAGCGACGACCACGCGAUCCUCCUCGCCGGCGGCGUCCUUGGCCUCCUCUCGCGGCCCUCGUCGCGGCCACAACGGACGCCGCGUCCCCUCCCCACGGGCGCCCGCGUGGCGUGGCUGGCGGUGGGGUUCCUGAUGAGCAUACUCUGGGGCUCUGGGCAUACACCCUGGUGUGAACUGGUGGCGCGAACUGGUGGUCAUCGGGUACCGUACAUGGUGAGCGCGAACGCGAGCAUGCUGGGCGUGACGGUGCUGGCAUGCGGAGGCUCGUUGGGCGACCUAGUCUCCAACAUGGCGAUGGCGACGCACAGGGGCCCCGACCAUGCGCAGAUGGCCGUGUCAUCCUGCUGCGCCGGGCCGCUGUUCAACACGGUGGUGGGGCUGAGGCUUUCGCUGACGCUGGCGGCGGGCGCGCGGUACCUGGCGCCGUUCACGCUCCUGGCAGACGCAGCGGUGUACGAGACGGUGGGGUUCCUGUGCACCGGGCUGGCGUUGGUGCUGGUGGUGGUGCCGGCGAGGGGCAUGCGGCUCGACCGGGUGGACGGGGUGGGCCUCAUCGUCAUCUACCUCGCCUUCUUCGGCGUCCGCGUGCUUGUUAGACUGUAUUUACAUGUGUAUAUUGUAACGUUUUAUACCACCUCAUUAUAUAUAUAUAUAUAUAUGUGAUAGGCCACCCCUAGAGGGUUAUGCCGGUUCCCCCAAAGCCUAUUGUCUUACAUGGUAUCACGCUAGGUUACGUCCGCUUCCGCCUAAAAACCCUAAACCGCCGCCGCCGCCGCGCCCGCCGUCGCCGUCGCCCGACUGCUAUGACGUCCGCCGCUGCGUCCGGCUCCACCGCCACCGGUUUUCUGCCGGCCUCCCUCGCGGCACUUCUCUCGAGGCCGCUGGAUGCCGCCUCCCUUCAGGCGCCGAUCGAGACACGGAGCGUCGGCUCCCUCUUCGCGCUCCCGCCGGCUGCUACUUCGCCCGGGCAGGCGCUUGUGGCCCACACCGCCGCCGCCCCGUCAACCGCGGCUGUCGCGCCCUCGGCCACUGCGCCGCUGGUGGCGGAGGACGUCGCGCUGGCAGGCUUCGCGGCGUCAACCGCGGCCAUCGCGCCCUCUGUCACCGCGCCGGCUGCCCCUCUGACUGUCUCCACGGUGGUCUCACCUCGUUUUUGGAGUGAUGCUUUCACCACUGCAUGUUUUCUCAUCAAUCGUACUCCCACUCGUGUUUUGAAUAUGAAGACUCCCAUUGAAGUUCUCCUUAAUGAACAACCGGACUACACCUUUCUCAAGGUGUUUGGGUGUGCUUGCUGGCCCCAUCUCCGUCCAUAUAACAAGUGUAAGCUCGAGGUUCGUUCCAAGAAGUGUGUUUUUCUUGGUUAUAGCUCUCUUCAUAAAGGAUACAAAUGUCUUCAUGUGCCCACUAAUCGUGUCUACAUCUCUCAGGAUGUUGUGUUUGAUGAGCAUGUUUUUCCCUUUGCCAAACUCCCUGUGUCCACUACCGAGCCACCUGUCAUGCAUUCAUCCUUUGUUGCUUCUGACCAAUUUGAUGAUGUUGCAUAUUCUCCUCUAUUGUUGCCUAACCAUGGUGCAGGCACUGGUCGUGGGGCUCGUUUGGAGAUUCUGAAAGUGCCAUCUUCCUCUUCGUCGCCAUCGCCUUCAUCCUCGGCACCUUCUGUUGUGCAUGAGGAGCACAUGGCGCCCCUGCAUGGCCUCGGUUUCCGUGCUCAUGCACGGCCGAUCGACGUCCUGGCCCGGUCGCCUCUGGCUUCUGGGCUGCCUUCGCCAUCGUCGCGCCCUGCAACCCCGCCGACUGGGCCGGCCUCCUCGGUCCCCGUCUCGCCCAGGGCGUCGGGGCAGUCAUCACCAGGCCUGGCCUCGCCCGCCCUUGCCUCGCCCAGGGUGUCUGGGCCCUUCUUACCAGGGCCGGCCUCGCCUGCUCUCGCCUCGCCAAGGCCGUCUGGGCCGGUGUCACCGGAGCUGGCCUCGCCCACUCUCGGUUCGCCCAUGGCCUCUGAGCCCCUGUCGUCGGGCCAGUCUUCGCCAUGCAGCCCGGAGUCGUCUGUCCCGAGCUCGCCUGAGGUGAUUCCUGCAUCUCCGGUGACCGUCAUGUCUCCGUCACCUUCGCCUCCGCCGGCUCCUGCUACUGCUCUACGUCCACAUACGCGCAGUCGAAGUGGCAUUUUUUAGCCUAAGCAACGUCACGAUGGCACAGUUGCUUGGUUAGCGGCGUGCAUGUCUGCUGCUCUCGCAGAUCCAUCCUCUGAGCCACGCACGUAUCAAGCUGCUAUGCGCAUUCCUCAUUGGAGAGAGGCCAUGGAGCAGGAGUAUCAAGCGCUUCUUCGCAAUCAGACAUGGACUCUUGUUCCUCCACAAUCACGGGUAAAUGUCAUUGAUUCCAAAUGGGUUUUCAAAGUGAAGAGGCAUUCUGAUGGGUCCAUUGAGCGCUAUAAGGCUCGUCUGGUUGCUCGUGGUUUUCGACAGUGUUUUGGACUUGACUAUGAAGACACCUUCAGUCCAGUGGUCAAGCCUACUACCAUCAGACUUCUUCUCUCUCUGGCUGUUACUCGAGGUUGGUUUCUUCGUCAGCUUGAUGUUCAAAAUGCUUUUCUUCAUGGUGUCUUGGCGGAGGAGGUUUACAUGCGCCAGCCUCCGGGUUUCUCUGAUCCGGAUCGCCCUGAUCAUCUCUGUCGUCUGUCCAAGGCAAUUUAUGGUCUGAAGCAGGCUCCUCGUGCUUGGCAUGCUCGUCUUGCAAUGGCUCUUCGUGCUCAUGGUUUUGCAUUAUCAACUGCUGACUCCUCAUUGUUUCUUCUUCAAAGGCCUGAGGUUACUAUGUACUUGUUGGUCUAUGUAGAUGAUAUCAUUUUGGUCAGCUCCUCUCAGUCGGCUGCUACUGCGCUUGUUCGCUCACUUGGUGCUGAUUUUGCGGUCAAGGACCUUGGGAAGCUUCAUUACUUUCUUGGUGUGGAGGUUACUUCUCGUGCUGCUGGCCUUGUUAUGACGCAGAAGAAGUACUCUCUGGAUUUGUUGCAGCGAGCUGGGAUGCUUAAGUGCAAACCGACGACUACACCCAUGUCUACCACUGAUAAGCUCAAUGCUGUUGAUGGUGUGCUUCUUUCUUCUUCUGAUGCGACAGAGUACAUGAGUAUUGUUGGUGGGCUCCAGUACUUGACGAUCACGCGACCAGACAUUUCCUAUGCUGUUAACCGAGUUUGCCAGUAUCUGCAGUCACCCUGUGACACUCAUUGGUCUGCUGUUAAGCGGAUUUUAUGCUAUAUUCGUUUCACGGUGGCUCAUGGUUUGCAUAUUCGGCCGUCUGGCUCUGGUUGUCUUUCAGCAUAUUCUGAUGCAGACUGGGCUGGCAAUCCGGAUGACAGGCGAUCCAACGGGGGUUAUGCUGUCUUCUUUGGCUCUAACCUGAUUGCCUGGAGUGCUCGGAAACAGGCUACUGUCUCGCGUAGCAGUACUGAGGCUGAGUAUAAGGUUGUGGCCAAUGCCACAUCAGAGAUCAUCUGGAUACAGUCCUUGCUUCAGGAGUUAAGUAUACCCCAAUCACAGCCUCCUGUUCUUUAUUGUGAUAACAUCGGUGCUACACACCUUUCUACAAAUCCGGUAUUCCAUGCCCGAACGAAACACAUUGAAGUUGACUAUCACUUUGUGCGUGAACGUGUCUCUCAGAAGCAACUACAGAUCAAGUUUAUUUCUUCCAAGGAUCAACUUGCUGACAUCUUCACCAAGCCAUUGCCUUUGCCACAGUUUGAGAUUUGCAGGCGCAAUCUUACCCUUCUAGAUUCAUUAGAAAGUGGCUAAGAUUGAGGGAGGGUGUUAGACUGUAUUUACAUGUGUAUAUUGUAACGUUUUAUACCACCUCAUUAUAUAUAUAUAUGUGUGAUAGGCCACACCUAGAGGGUUGUGCCGGUUCCCCCCAAAGCCUAUUGUCUUACAGUGCUCGAUAACCUCGGCCUCUGGUUCGAGUAGCGACGACAGCAAACAGAGGAAGCUGCUCUGCUCCCGUCAAUGGCGACCACUGAUGUACGUAGAUGGAGGAUGAUAGUUGAUAGAUCAGAUGCUUGUACAGUCGUAGUAGCACUAGCUAGUACUAUAGUAUUAGCCUGUAGGUGAUUACCGAUGGAUUAGUUAGUGGUGUAAUUGUUGCUUGUUUUGGUUGGCAUCAAGAUGAUUUCCCCACGAGUUGAAAUCGAUAAACGACAGGGAGCUAAAUGCAAAAGUGCGGCGCUGACUGGCUUGGUCCAGUUGGCUCCACUUGGCUGCUCAUGAUUGGCUCAGGACCAAAUGUACACCUUGAGGACAAGUUUCAGGACCAAAUAAUCCACUUUUGCAAAUAUAAGGAUCAAAUCAUCACAUGAAGGACAAGUUCAAGGACCUGCGGUGCUAUUACCUCUUGAACACAAGGGUUUGAGCAUCAUAAGUCUGAUUAUUACUGGUGUUCUGGCUUGAGAGUUGGACACCUGUCGAUGUGGCUUGAAAGCAUCGGCCCGCUGUGGUCGUUGGAGAAGGAUUAGAGGCUCUGCGUGAGUCCCAGAGACCCGAUCGGCAGGCAGGUCGCUUAACAAGCGUCGUGAAUCCAGUAUUUCAUUUCUCUUUCCUGUUCAACCCUGCGUGCAUAGUGUGGAUUUGUAGCUGCUGCUGCAUAUUGACUAGAGGAUUGUUUAGGGUAAGAACCACAAGACAGUACGUAAACGUGGUUGCAUGCCAAGCUUUUUCUGUUUCACGACGAACCCCCAACUGCUGCCCAUGUGAAAGAAACAGGACCGCCACCACUCAAAGUCACACGUACAGCAUGCGACUGUUCGUAAAGUUGGUCCUGUCUUUUUUUUUGUUGCCUUGGCAGAAAAAAGCCGGCAUGGAGAUCCUCACGCUUUUCCUUUCGUGUCGGGGUGGGACACCAAACAUGCCACAAACAAGAAACCGCGAGUGAUCUGGAACCAUGGAAACUCGACAGCACAAUGGGCUAGAGAUUAUCGUUCUCAACAAGCCUGCUUCUUUUUAUAUCUGUCUGAUUGAUUGAUUGAUUGAUGUCGUCGCAGUUAUAACGGAUCAGCAAACAUGUACUAUAUAACACACCAGAAUAAUCUUUAACACACAGAUGAUAGCUGAGCGAACAUAAUCGUGACAACAGUAACAAUAUCAUAAAUCCGUAAUAAUCAGGCUAACAAGUAAAGUACAUACAUGGCCAAUAUAAAAUUAUAUGGUAGAAACCUCUCAAAUCCUCAGCUAACACGAAACCAAAUCCUCGCACAAAGGCGAAACACGCCUCCCAACCAUCAAGCUAGUUCCACUUCAACUAGUGUACCGGUAGAUCUAACGACGGUACGUGCGUCUCAGUGGCGGAGGAAGGCGAGGAGGAGCACGGCGGCGCAACAUGCUGAGAGCGGUGCCAAGACUGUGGUCACCAACGCGCCGGAGACCGGGGCUGGGGCGAUGGCGGGCACCUCAGCGGCGGAGGCAACGCCGGCGAACACGGCCAAGGCCACGAAGAUCACCAAGGCGACUACGGCGGAGGGAACCCUAGCCAUCGAUCUAGGUUGAUUCCCGGAGGUAAAGUGGGAUGAUGGUCUAGCUAGGGUUUUUGAUGCGACGAGCAAUGGAGAUGGAGGGAGAUGCAACAAAGAGAGGGGGCCGUUAUAUACGGAAUGACGGAAGGGAAGAGGAAGGGCCAGGCAGUUAUAUUCCAACCACAACUUGCUUGAUAAAGUCGAAUCGCGUUUCGAAUUCCUUUUUUGGGCAGAAUUAUCGGCUUCCGUAAGCGGAAUUUUAAGGGUCUCAACCGCGACUCAAUGUUUUAACUUUUUUAAUACAAGAACAAAAUCUGUUUUUUAGGGGUACAAGAACAAAAAUCUGAUGCCUCCUAAUUCGAUUUGAUUUGAUGGGGUUCUGUACGAUGGGCAUAGGCCAAAAUCAUUAUUCUGACCUUAUUAGAAAUCUUCAGCAUAAAAUGACCUUUUUUAGAAACUAUUUUACAAUCUAACCCUUUCUGAAUCGCCAAACCUCAUGAGCUCAUGGUGUUACUGUCCAAAGUAGGCCAUACUAUUCAGCGUUGCUAGCCGGCCACGUGGCAAGUCAAAACGCCGAAGUUGCCCGCGUUGGUAGAAACGCCACACCUGUUGGCGUUGCUGGUGGGCGUGAAAACGCCAAAGUACUAGGCGUUGCACUCCUGAUCCAUUGCUACAACUAGCAUCCAACAUACUUUUGAGUUUUGAUUUUGAUGCAUAUAUAAACAUGCGCUAGAGAACAAAUGAUGUCGCUCUCUCCUGAUUAAACGACGCUCACCUGCAUGCAACAUGCAUGUGAUCGAUCCACCCUUCCAUCCUCUUAAUUAAGAGCAACUCUAGCGCGCUGAUCCAUUUUAUUUACGCGUGUCUGUUUAGAUCACCGUAGACAGAAAAUGCACCAACCCAAAUGAAGGCGGUUCGUUUUUCGUCCGCCUGUCGAUCCAUUCCUGGCUCAAUUUUGGGCCUUGUUUGCGUUGGCGCGGACACGAAGCAAACACGCAGCGCGCGCCUACUCCUUCCCUGGUCCGCCAGUCGGUGGCAAAACGAACAGCCUCUCCCUCCAAUUCCCCAAAACCUCACGCCCGCCCGCGCUCUCGGCCGCGAGCCAUGGACGACGACCUCGAUGCCACCGCCGGCCUCGCCUACCUCGCCUCGUCCGGCCUCACCCCGCCCCUUUCGGCAAAGGUAAGCCCCGCGCCCCUCACAAGACUGUGGUGCCGCCCAAGAAGAAGAAGAAGAAGCUGACGCCCGCAGAGCGGGCCUUGGAGUCGCUGGCAUGAUGCCAGCAUGAACUUUGGGCGAUGCCAUGAUCUAUUGCCACGGGCCUUUUAAAUUUCUGCACAGGCAUGAAAUGGGCUGCGACCUUGCGGGCGUUGGGCGCACUAAAAAAACAGGGCGAACGCCGGGCGGGCGGUCGAUCCAAACAGAUAAAAAACGGAUAAAAUGGUCGUUUGUUUUGGUCGACGUGUUGGAGUUUCUCUAACUAAUGUAUCGAUCACAAUCACAGGCCUGGUCAGUCAAUCAGAGCUUAAUUCCGUGGAAUAAAUAAUCAACUGUUGCAUUUUCUCUUGGGAUCUUGCCCCUUGGAGGCCACGACGAUGCACCUCACUCAUAUGCUUGUUGCAUUUUCAUGUGUAGGAGAAUACAAUCUUGCCAUGCAGCCAUUGGAUCAAUGUCGUCGCAAGAUCAGUCAAAUUGUCUCAUGAAUUGUCGGUGGUACGUAUAACAUGCAUGCAUCAAUCGGAAGAAGGGUCAAACUGUUUCAUGCAUUGCCGGCGAGGUAACAUGCAUGCAUGCUGGAUGCUAGUUGUAGCAAUGGACCAGUAGGGCAACGCCUAGGACUUUGGCCUUUCCACGUCCAACAGGAACGCCAACAGGUAUGGCGUUUCUACCAACGCGGGCAACCUCGGGGUUUCAACUUGCCACGUGGCCAGCUAGCAACGUUGAAUAGUACGGUGAUUUUAUUUUGAACAGUAACACCACAAGGUUUGGCGUUUCAGAAAGGAUCAGAUCGUGAAAUAGUUUCUCGGAGAGGUCAUUUUGUGUUGAAGAUUUCUGACAAGGUCAGAAUAGUGAUUUUGGCCAUGAGCGUAUGGGAUUCGACAACUGGAGAAGUGGAGAGGCGGCAGGUGGUUGGUGCUGGACAGCGAUGGGUCAAUUGUCUCAAUUGGCAUGCUUCGUUGCUUCUCUCUACACUUUGCAACAUCUCAUUGGCUGUCGCGUCCUUGAGAUAUAAAUUCUCGCCAAGUUAAGUUACAGGGACUCUAGACGGACGCGGAUUUUUGGGACAUGCGGCCACACGAUGCCGCUAUCCUGGGCGUUCGCGUGCGCAUCGUUGUAAGGGUAUCUUUUGCCUUAGGGUUUUGGUGAUGAUGACAACACACGUGGACUAAUCGUGCGCCAUAGUUUUCUCAGGUACACUUUGUGUGGCGCAAGACGGUUAGGCUUUCCCUCUAUGCGAAAAGAUCGAAGACGGAGUUUCCGACGUUUUAUUUCCUUUGGUCGUAGGAUAUCCGUACUAUUAAGAGGGAAUCCACAUCCGAAGGUAUUGAGUGAAUCCUUCAUGUACACAUUCUCUGCAACCCCCAUAUACCCUCCGUUCGAGGAGAGAGAGGUUCCCCAUCCUCUGUUCUGUGCAGUCCUGCUCUUGGCGGUUGUACCGCUUCAUUAAGCGGUUGUACCGCUGGCCGGUAGUUCCGGUCUGACCACCGCCCCUAGUACCGCUCAGGGGUGACUCCCUUCUGUACCAGGUGCGGUGGUAGACCGGUGGUGGAACGGUAGUUUCGGUUUUUCUUGAUAAACCGGUACUACCGGUGAUCAGGGCGGUAGUUCUGCCUCGGACCCCACCGCCAGGAACUGAUGGCCCAGUGGUAGUUCCGGUCCAACCUCCGCCCCAACUACCGACCUGAGGGGUUUACUUUCUGUAUGUGGCCCAGUAGUGGAGCGGUGGUUGUGCGGUAGUUCCAUUUUGUUCCGAUAAACCGGUACUACCGGGUGCUCCACCGGAAGUUCCGCUCCUAUGCGUUUCUGCACAUAACGGUUGGAUCUUGGGGGGCCUAUUUAAGGAGGUGCUUCUCCUACCUCCCACCUACCUCUUGCCUCUCCCUCCCUCUCUCUCUCUCUCUCUCUCUCUCUCUCUCUCCUUCAUUACUGCCAUUAAAAGCUCUCUUGCCCGAUCUCUCUCUCUAGCCACUCAAACUCAUUGAUUUGCUAGGGAUUGAAGGAGGAGACCUAGAUCUACACUUCCACCAUAGGAUAUUUGAUUCCCUCAUACUUUCUUGUGUGGACUCUUGGGUGCUUGGGUGCCCUAGAUGGAAGAGGUCACUUCGGAGCCACAUUCCAUUGUGGUGAAGCUUUGGGGUUUCGUUGGGAGCCUCCAAUUAAGUUGUGGAGAGAGCAUCAACCUUGUUUGUAAAGGUCCGGUUGCCGCCUUCAAGGGCACCAAUAGUGGAAUCAUGGCAUCUCGCAUUGUGUGAGGGUGUGAGGAGAAUACUGUGGCCCUAGUGGCUUCUUGGAGAGCAUUGUGCCUCCACACCGCUCUAACGGAGACGUACUUCCCCUCAAAAGGAAGGAACUUCGGUAACACAUCCUCGUCUUCACCGGCUCCGCUCUUGGUUAUCUCAUGCCUUUACAUGUGCAAGCUUAUUUGUGUUAUAUCCCUUGCUUGCUUGUGUGCUUAUUGUUGUUGCAUCAUAUAGGUAGCUCACCUAGUUGCAUAUCUAGACAACCUACUUUGAUGCAAAGUUUAAUUUGGUAAAGAAAAGCUAAAAAUUGUUAGUUGCCUAUUCACCCCCCCUCUAGUCAACUAUAUCGAUCUUUUCAAUUGGUAUCGGAGACUCGUCUCUUUAUUAAGGACUUUGCCGUCCGAAGAGUAUGGUUGACACCGUAGACGGUGUGAAAGGGCACUCCGGUGUGAAUCCAAUCUCGUCUACGGCCGAUGGGGGAACCGCGGUCUCUCGUGAGGAAUUCAAUGUGGCUUUGGACACAUUGAAAACCUCCAUGAUGACCGAGGUUGAAAGCAUGUUUAAUAAAUUUAUAGAAGGGCUUACAUUAUCCAUCACACCGUUGAAAGUGGGUGAUCCCACUAACAAGGUGACGGAUGCUAACCGCGACAAGGGGGAAGCUACUAGUCAAAAGGCUCCUUCUUCUAGCGGUAAAAAUGGCACCGGCAUCUUUGCCCAUGUGGAACCUCCACUUGUUUAUGGUGGACCAAUUCCUUCCACUCAUUUGAACCAUGCCGGUCCUCCCCCUAAGAUUGUGAAAAAUGAGGACUUUGAUUCUUGGGUUUAUCGUUUUAAGCGUCAUUUAAAUCAUGUGAAUACUAAUCUUUGGAGAAUCAUUGAAUAAGGUUUCUAUCCGCAUGACCGAAGCAACUUCACCCCUAGAGAAGCCACGGACAAUCAAUUCAAUGAGAAUGCUCUCUUCAUCAUUCAAGAUGCAAUUCCACCCGAAAAUCUCCCUCAUCUUCGGCCCUUCGCCAUGGCCAAAGAUGCAUGGCAUUGUGUUGUUUCCCUAUACCGGGGAAGCGCAAGCAUUCAAAGCUCCAACGAUGAAGUGGUACAAGAUGAAGCCGAUGAGUUUGCAAUGAAAGAAGAUGAAGAACCUCGUGAGCUUUAUCGGAGAGUAACCAAACUCGCGGUCUCACUGCGAGAUCAUGGGAGCAAGGACACAGAUGACAAUUGGAUCAAGCGCAAAUUACUCAAUGCAAUGAUGCCUUACCACAAUGCCAUGUCCUCCAUCAUUCGUCAAAGGCCGGACUUCCACACAUUGUCUUCAAGUGAAGUGUUGGGUGAGUUUGUGGCUAUGAGCAUCUUGUACAAGACCACCGACAAUGAGGUGCUACGUUCUCAAAGAGCCAAGAAGCCUAACCUUGCAUUGAAGGCCAAAGUUAGUGUGGAAUAAGAAGAAGAAGAAGAAGAAGAGGAAGAAGGGGAAAGCAACCCCGAAGAUACAAAGUAUGCCUAUCAUGAACACAUGGCUCUUGCUUCAAGGCAAUUUUGGAGCAAGAAGAACACAAAGCCCAACUUCAACAAGAACAACUCAAGUGGCGCGAAGGUCAAGCAACGAGUGAGGACUUGCUAUAAUUGUGGCAAUGUGAGCCACUUUGUUGCGGAAUGUCCCUAUGAGAAGAGGGAAGACAAUGGUGCAAGCUCAUCCGAAAGGACAAGGCCAAGUCUUUCCCCAACAAGAGCAACUUCACCAAGAAGAUUCCUCCCAAGGCGUUGGUGGUCCAAGAAGAGUACAAUGAGGAUGAUGAUGAUGAUGAAGAUGGUGAGUCAGUUGCCAUGGCCUCCAUUGCCAUUGCGACAACUCCACGGGUGUCUCUCUUCGACCCUCCCAAUGAGAGCAUCACCGCCAAGUGCCUCAUGGCUAAAGCCACCAACAAGGUAACCCCCAACAUCAAAACUACCAUCAUUAAUAAUCCCUCUUUGACGGAUUGCAUUGAUGAACAUGAUGGUUCUAGUGUGGAGGAGAAUGAGUUUGAGUCUUUUAUGAGUAAACUCAAGGGUAAAUCCAAGAAGCACUUCGUUGCUCUCUUGGAACAACUUGGUGAAGCCAAUAACACGAUCGAGGCUCACGAGGAUACCAUCUCUAAGAUGGAGGGGCAUAGUCAUGACUAUGCCGAUGAGAUAUCGGAUCUUUCCAAUGCCCUUGAGGAAGAGCAUGGUCUUCGUUUGGCUUUUGAGGAGUCACACAACGAUGAUCAUGCUAAGUUAAAGAAAGAUCUUGAUCAUGCUCUUGUUGUCUCUCGUGUGCUAACCUCCGAGAAGGCCAUGCUUGGGGUUGAUCUUGCUAGACUCAAAGAGGAGUUUGACUUACUUGACAAGGUUCACAAGGUCUUGAAGGGUGCUCAUGCUAGCCUCAAAGAGUCUCAUGAUCAACUCCAAGUAAAGCUAACCAAGGAGAAAGCCACAUUUCCUCAUAUGGUCUUGAUUGAUAAUGCAAAUGCCACUAACCCGUGUUGUGAGCAUGUGCAUCUUGUUGAGGAGAAUGCUAAGUUGAAGGAGCAACUUGAGAAAGGCCUUGUGUCUUGCAUACAAGGCGAGAAGAACCUCAACGAUCUUUUGAGCAAUCAAAAGGAAGUUGUGGCCGAGGAAGGGAUUGGGUACACACCCAAGUCUAAGAACAAGAAGAAGAAUCACAAGGCCAAACGACCUCCUCUCAAGCAAACCUUUGUGAAGGAGGGAGAGGGUGCUGUUAAGGAGAAGAAGAAGAACACCAUGAAGGGUGGUGAUGCCAAGAAGGGCAACACUUACCUUCCCAACAAAGCCGACGACUUUAACCCUUCUUAUGUGUUAUGCCGUGCUAGUGAUGGAUAUGUUUAUGCCAAAUUUGUUGGUUCUUCUUAUGAAUACAUUAAAUGGUAUAUUUGGGUUCCUAAGACCCUUGUUACUAACAUCAAAGGACCCAUUACAAAAUGGGUACCUAAAACCAAGCAUUGAUUUCUUGUAGGUGUUUGCUUCCGGUGGGGGAUCAUGGUUGCUCGAUAGUGGAGCAACUAAUCAUAUGACCAGAAGCAAGGACUUGGUGAUGGAUGUUCACAAGAUUCCAUCUAUGCCCAGCAAUGUCGAGUGGGGUGAUGUCUCAUCCUCUAAGGUAUUGGGACUUGGCAAGGUUGUCAUUUCUCAUGAUCUCACAAUCGAGAAGGUCAUGCUUGUUGAGUCCCUUGCAUACAAUUUACUUUCCGUUCAAAAACUUGCACUCAUGGUCUUUGCCACUUUCUUUGAUGUUGAUACUGUGGCCCUCUUGUGCAGCAAGACUCUUAAAGUAGCCUUUGUUGGGCAUGUCGAGAACGGUCUCUAUGUGAUUAACUUUUUGGAGCGACCCACUAAGAUCGUGAUAACCCACAAGUAUAGGGGAUCGCAACAGUUUUGGAUAAGUAAGAGUGUCGAACCCAACAAGGAGCUAAAGGCAGAACAAAUAUUCCCUCAAGUUCUAUCGACCACCGAUACAACUCUACUGACGCUUGAUGUUCGCUUUACCUAGAACAAGUAUGAAACUAGAAGUACUUUGUAGGUGUUGUUGGAUAGGUUUACAUGAUAAAAAAGAGCACGUAAAUAAAAGCUAGGGGCUGUUUAGAAAAAGACACAAGUUAGGUUUAGUAGAGAGCUUGUUGUUACGAGAAAGUUAUUUGUCCCUAGGCAAUCGAUAACUAGACCGGUAAUCAUUAUUGCAAUUUUAUAUGAGGGAGAGGCAUAAGCUAACAUAAUUUCUCUACUUGGAUCAUAUGCACUUAUGAUUCUCUAGCAAGCAUCCGCAACUACUAAAGAUCAUUAAGGUAAAAACCAACCAUAGAAUUAAAGCUUCAAGUCCUCUUUAUCCCAUACGCAACAACCCCCUUACUCGGGUUUGUGUUUCAGUCACUCACGCAACCCACUAUAAGCGAAUCAUGAGCGUAUUGCAACACCCUAUAGCGGGGAUCCCUCACGCUUGCGCGACACGGAGAGCACCAUAGGACAGAACCAAUAAUAAAGCAUGCAACUCAAACCAAUCACGGUCAUGAAAUAACCCAUAGGACAAAACGGAUCUACUCAAACAUCAUAGGAUAGCCAUACAUCAUUGAGAAAUAAUAUAUAGCGUUGAGCACCAUGUUUAAGUAGAGAUUACAGCGGGUAAGAGAGAGUUUACACCGCUGCAUAGAGGGGGGAAGAGUUGGUGAUGAUGGUGGUGAAGUUGUUGGUGAAGAUUGUGGUGAUGAUGAUGCCCCCCCGGUGGCACUCCAACGCCACUGGAAGCGACGGGGAGAGAGCCCCCCUCCUUCUUCCUUGACCUCCUCCCUAGAUGGGAGAAGGGUUUCCCCUCUGGUCCUUGGUCUCUAUGGCGCGGGAGGGGCCAGAGCCCCUCCAAGAUUGGAUAUGUCUCUCUGUCUCUCUCUGUUUCUGUGUUCCCAGAUUCUGCCCUUUCACUCUUUCUUAUAUUCUCGGAGAUCCGUAACUCCGAUUGGGCUGAAAUUUUAACACGAUCUCUAUCCGGAUAUUAGCUUUCUUGCGGCGAAAUAAGGGCAUCAACCGCCUUACGGGGUGGCCACUAGGGUCAGGGGCACGCCCCCUGCCUCGUGCCUCCCUCGGGCACCGUCUCGCAUGGAUUUUUUCCCCAAAAAUCAUAUAUAUUCCAAAAAAAUCUCCAUCAGUUUUAUCCCGUUUGGACUCCGUUUGAUAUGGAUAUUCUACGAAACAAAAAACAUGCAACAAACAGGAACGGGCACUGGGCACUGGAUCAAUAUGUUAGUCCCAAAAAUAGUAUAAAAAGUUGCCAAAAGUAUAUGAAAGUUGUAGAAUAUUGGCAUGGAACAAUAAAAAAUUAUAGAUACGACGGAGACGUAUCAACAUCCCCAAGCUUAAUUCCUACUCGUCCUCGAGUAGGUAAAUGAUAAAAAAGAUAAUUUUUGAUGUGGAAUGCUACCUAGCGUAAUCUUGAUCACAUAUCUAAUCAUGGCAUAAAUAUUAAGAUACGAGUGAUUCAAAGCAAUAGUCUAUCAUUUGACACAAAAACAAUAAUACUUCAAGCCUACUAAUAAAGCAAGCAUGUCUUUUCAAAAUAACAUGGCCAAAGAAAGCUAUCCCUACAAAAUCAUAUAGUCUGGCUAUGCUCCAUCUUCACCACAGAAAAUAUUCAAAUCAUGCACAACCCCGAUGACAAGCCAAGCAAUUGUUUCAUACUUUUGAUGUUCUCAAACCUUUUCAACUUUCACGCAAUACAUAAGCGUGAGCCAUGGACAUAGCACUAUAGGUGGAAUAGAAUGGUGGUUGUGGAGAAGACAAAAAGGAUAAGAUAGUCUCACAUCAACUAGGCGUAUCAACGGGCUAUGGAGAUGCCCAUCAAUAGAUAUCAAUGUGAGUGAGUAGGGAUUUCCAUGCAAUGGAUGCACUGAGAGCUAUAAGUGUAUGAAAGCUCAGACUGAAAACUAAGUGGUUGUGCAUCCAACUUGCUUGCUCAUGAAGACCUCGGGCAUUUGAGGAAGCCCAUCAUCGGAAUAUACAAGCCAAGUUCUAUAAUGAGAAUUCCCACUAGUAUAUGAAAGUGAUAACUCAAGAGACUCUCUAUAUGAAGAACAUGGUGCUACUCUGAAGCACAAGUGUGGUAAAAGGAUAGUAACAUUGCCCCUUCUCUCUUUUUCUCUCAUAUUUUUUGGGCCUUCUCCUUUUUUGGACUUUUUUUUAUUUUUUUAUUUUUUUUCGUCCGGAGUCUCAUCCCGACUUGUGGGGGAAUAAUAGUCUCCAUCAUCCUUUCCUCACUGAGGAAAUGCUCUAAUAAUGAUGAUCAUCACACUUUUAUUUAAUUACAACUCAAUAUUACAAGUUGAUACUAGAACAAAGAUAUGACUCUAUAUGAAUGCCUCUGGCGGUGUACUGGGAUGUGCAAUGAUCUAGCGUAGCAAUGACAUCAAAAAAGGACAAGCCAUGAAAACAUCAUGCUAGCUGUCUUAUGAUCAUGCAAAGCAAUAUGACAAUGAAUUCUCAACUCAUGUAUAUGAUGAUGAUGGAAGUUGAAUGGCCAUAUAUCUCGGAAUGGCUAUGGAAAUGCCAUGAUAGGUUGGUAUGGUGGCUGUUUUGAGGAAGGUAUAUGGUGGGUUUAUGGUAUCGGCGAAAGUUGCGCGAUACUAGAGAGGCUAGCAAUGAUGGAAGGGUGAGAGUGCGUAUAAUCCAUGGACUCAACAUUAGUCAUAAAUAACUCACAUAUUUAUUGCAAAAGUCUAUUAGCUAUCGAAAGAAAGUACUAUGCGCAUGCUCCUAGGGGGAUAGAUUGGUAGGAAAAGACCAUCGCUCGUCCCCGACCGCCACUCAUGAGGAAGACAAUCAAUAAAUAAAUCAUACUCCGACUUCGUUACAUAACGGUUCACCAUACGUGCAUGUUACGGGAAUCACAAACCUCAACACAAGUAUUUAUACUAAUCCACAACUACCCACUAGCAUGAAUCUAAUAUCACCAUCUUUAUAUUGCAAAACUAGUGCAAGGAAUCAAACAUAUCAUAUUAAGUGAUCUACAAGUUUUAUGUAGGAUUUUAUGACUAACCAUGUGAAUGACCAAUUCCUGUCAUCUCUCUAAAUAGAUAUAAGUGAAGCAAGAGAGUUUAGUUCUUUCUACAAAAGAUAUGUCCAUGCUCUAACAAAUAUAAGUGAAGCAAAAGAGCAUUCUACAAAUGGCGGUUUUCUAUGUAAAGAGAAACAGGCAAUCCAAGCUUCAAAUGAUAUAAGUGAAGCACAUGAAGCAUUCUAUAAAGCCAUACUCAAAAGAUAUAAGUGAAGUGCAUAAAGCAUUAUAUAAAUCAACCAAGGACUAUCUCAUAACAGCAUGGUGCAUAAAAGAAAAAUGAAAACUAAAUGCAAAAUACGCUCCAAGAUUUGCACAUAUCGCAUGAACGAAACGAAUCCGGAAACAUACCGAUAUUUGUUGCAGAAAGAGGGGAUGCCUUCCGGGGCAUCCCCAAGCUUAGACACUUGAGUCUCCUUGAAUAUUUACUUGGGGUGCCUCUGGCAUCCCCAAGCUUGACCUCUUUCCUCUCUUCCUUCUUCUCACAUCGAGACCUUCUCGAUUAUCGAACACUUCAUCCACACAAAACUUCAACAGAAAACUUGGUAAGAUCCGUUAGUAUAAUAAAGCAAAUCACUACUCUAAGUACUAUUGAAAACCAAUUAAUAUUUUGUUUUGGCAUUGUAGCUACUGUAAUAUAACUUUUUCAUGGCUUAAUCCACUGAUAUAAAUUGAUAGUUUCAUCAAAACGAGCAAACUAUGCAUCAAAAACAGAAUCUGUCUAAAACAGAACAGUCUGUAAUAAUCUGAACAUUCACCAUACUUGUGAUACUUGAACAAUUCUGCCAAAAUUAGGAAAAGUAAACAAUUUGUAUAGAAAGACAGUGAAAAAAGAAUCAGAACCAUUUGACGUUCCAGCAAAAAAUGUAAAAUCACGCACUACAGCCAAAGUUUAUGUCCUGCACCGCACAAACCAUCAAGCAAAUGUAAACAUCCUAAAGGCAAACCUUGGCACAUUAUUUUUAUAAUACAAUGGAAUUGUACAAGGGGAUAAUUAUUUUUGUUGAAAAGUUUCUGUAAUCAAGAUUCACAAAGUUUCCGUGAGCAUGAACAAAGUUCAAGGCUAGCUCCCACUUCAACAAUGCUCGUCUUUCUCACUUUCGCUUUCCUUUUUGAAAAAGUUUUGGGUUCCCCUCUUUUUUUGUUGUUUUUUAAACUAUAUAAAAGCACUCAACAGAAGUAAAUGACUCUCUAAAACUUCUGGGUUGUCUCCCUGGCAGCGCUUUCUUUAAAGCCAUUAAGCUAGGCAUAUAGUGCUCAAGUAAUGAAUCCACCUGGAUCCCAAGGUAUAUCAAAGCCAAUUUUAAUUAAGAAUGAUUUGUAAUUUAGUAGUGAGCACAAAGUAACAUAUAUCAUGCAACAAAAAAGUCUAACUCUCUUCCUAUGCAUCGGCAUGUCAUAAAAGAACAAUUCAUGCACACAAAGUAAAGGCCAAUUCAUAGUAUAAACAGUUUUUUGCAAUUUUAUCGUGUGGGAAACAUAGAGAGGUGGAGAUAUAGUUCCUCUCUCAUAAUAAUUACAAGUAGGAGCAGCAAGCACAUGCAUAUUAUAUCUAUCAAAAUCAUCAUGUGUAGUAGUAAAAGGCAACCCAUCAAUAUAAUCCUUAAUAAGCACAAACUUCUCCGAUAUAACGUAGUUUGCAUAAUUCAAAAAGAUAAUAGGACUAUCAUGUGUGGGUGCAAUAGAAACAAUUUCAUGUUUAACAUAAGGAACUAUAGCAAGUUCAUCUCCAUAAGCAUAAUUCAUAUUGGCAUCUUGGCCACAAGAAUAGCAAGCAUCAUCAAAAAGGGAUAUUUCAAAAGAAUCAACGGGAUCAUAGCAAUUAUCAUAGCAUUCAUCCUUCGGUAAGCACGAAGGGAAAUUAAACAAUGUAUGAGUUGAAGAGUUACUCUCAUUAGAAGGUGGGCACGGGUGAUCGAUUCGGUCUUCCUCCUUUUGUUCUUCGCUCUCCUCCUCAUCUUUCUCAUCCAAUGAGCUCAUAGUUUCAUCAAUUUCUUCUUCCAUACAUUCCUGUAAAAUAUUAGUCUCUUCUGGGACAGCGGAGACUUUCUCAAUAAACGCAUCAAUAUCGGAAUUGUAUUCAUAAUUCUCAUAACAAUAUUUAAGGAUAGCUAAAUUUUCAGGUCUGUAGACAGCAUCAUAAAUAUUUUCAUAUUCUUUGAACAUAUAUUCAAUUUCAUAAGCACGCAUAAAAGCAACAAUUUUUUUUAUUUGUUCCACAUCAUAGUAGUCAUAUAUACCUCUAGCAUAAGAAGCCAAAGUUUCAUUAUCAUUAAAUUCACAUGAAAAGGGAAGGUGUGGAGCCUUCAUCCUAGAGCAACAAGUAUAAUCAUAUCUCAAGCAUAGUUGCCUAACAUACCAAUACAACAUAUAAAUUUGAUCCCAUAAUAGUUUCCCUUUUUGAGUCAAGCUAUAAUCCCUAAAGUAUUCACGUUGAUCCAACGUGUCUCCCAUUACCAAAUUGAAUGGGGUUUUCUCUGGAUUAUCAAAGUAGUACAUAAUAUCUGUCACAUAACGAGCAUCGAGGGUUUUAGGGGGUUCCUCAUCUCCAUGAGCAGCAAGUACACCUAAUUUUUUUGGUAUUCCGUGUACCAUAUCCAUAACUAAAGAUAAAUAACAACUAAGAAUAGCAAAUAAAAAAUUACUUAAUGAUAAAGCAAACAAGCACACACGAGAAUAUUCACCCCACGCUAUUGCUCCCCGGCAACGCCGCCAGAAAAAGGUCUUGAUAACCCACUCGCAAUAGUUUUUGAUAAGUAAGAGUGUCGAACCCAAUGAGGAGCUAAAGGCAGAAAAAAUAUUCCCUCAAGUUCUAUCGACCACCGAUACAACUCUACGCACGCUUGAUGUUCGCUUUACCUAGAACAAGUAUGAAACUAGAAGUACUUUGUAGGUGUUGUUGGAUAGGUUUGCAAGAUAAUAAAGAGCACGUAAAUAAAAACUAGGGGCUGUUUAGAUAAAUACACAACUAAGUUAGGUUUAGUAGAGAGCUUGUUGUUACGAGAAAGUUAUUUGUCCCUAGGCAAUCGAUAACUAGACCGGUAAUCAUUAUUGCCAUUUUAUAUGAGGGAGAGGCAUAAGCUAACAUAAUUUCUCUACUUGGAUCAUAUGCACUUAUGAUUCUCUAGCAAGCAUCCGCAACUACUAAAGAUCAUUAAGGUAAAACCCAACCAUAGCAUUAAAGCAUCAAGUCCUCUUUAUCCCAUACACAACAACCCCCUUACUCGGGUUUGUGUUUCAGUCACUCACGCAACCCACUAUAAGCGAAUCAAGAACGUAUUGCAACACCCUACAGUGGGGAUCCCUCAUGCUUGCGCGACAUGGAGAGCACCAUAGGACAACACCAAUAAUAAAACAUGCAACUCAAACCAAUCACAGUCAUCAAAUAACACAUAGGACAAAACGGAUCUACUCAAACAUCGUAGGAUAGCCAUACAUCAUUGGGAAAUAAUAUAUAGCGUUGAGCACCAUGUUUAAGUAGAGAUUAUAGCGGGUAAGAGAGAUUUUACACCGCUGCAUAGAGGGGGGGAGAGUUGGUGAUGAUGGUGGUGAAGUUGUUGGUGAAGAUUGCGGUGAUGAUGAUGGCCCCCGGUGGCACUCCGGCGCCACCGAAAGCGAGGGGGAGAGAGCCCCCCUCCUUCUUCUUCUUCCUUGACCUCCUCCCUAGAUGGGAGAAGGGUUUCCCCUCUGGUCCUUGAUCUCCAUGUCGCGGGAGGGGCCAGAGCCCCUCUGAGAUUGGAUCUGUCUCUCUUUGUUUCCGCGUUCCCAGAUUCUGCCCUUUCACCGUUUCUUAUAUUCCCGGAGAUCUGUAACUCCGAUUGGGCUGAAAUUUUAACACUAUCUCUAUCCGGAUAUUAGCUUUCUUGCAGCGAAAGAAGGGCAUCAACCUCCUUACGGGGUGGCCACGAGUGUCAGGGGCGCGCCCCCCUGCCUCGUGCCUCCCCUGGGUACUGUCUCGCGUGGAUUUUUCUUCCAAAAAAUCAUAUAUAUAUAUAUAUUCCAAAAAAAUCUCCGUCAGUUUUUAUCCCGUUUGGACUCUGUUUGAUAUGGAUAUUCUGUGAAACAAAAAACCUGCAACAAACAAGAACUGGCACUGGGCACUGGAUCAAUAUGUUAGUCCCAAAAAUAGUAUAAAAAGUUGUCAAAAGUAUAUGAAAGUUGUAGAAUAUUGGCAUGGAACAAUCAAAAAUUAUAGAUACGACAGAGACGUAUCAGACCGCGACAUGCCUAAUGGCUAAAGUUGACGUGUGAUGGCUUUGGCAUCGCCGUUUAGCCCAUGUCAAUAUGAGAUCUUUGCAAAGUCUUUUCAAGGGGGACCAUGUCCAUGGACUAACAAAUGUUAGUUUUGUUAAAGAUCGUGCUUGCAGUGCUUGUAUCAAAGGAAAGCUACAUGAAAAGACUCACCCUCCCACGACUAUCAUUUACUCGAAGAGGCCUUUGGAGCUCCUUCAGUUGGAUCUUUUUGGGCCUCCAUCCUUUGAUAGUCUUGGGGGUAGAAAGUAUUGCUUGGUGAUUGUGGAUGACUGAGGGAGUCCUGGAUUAGGGGGUCUCCGGACAGCCGGACUAUAUCCUUUGGCCGGACUAUUGGACUAUGAAGAUACAAGAUUGAAGACUUCGUCCCGUGUCCGGAUGGGACUCUCCUUGGCGUGGAAGGCAAGCUUGGCAAUACGGAUAUGUCAAUCUCCUCCCUUGUAACCGACUCUGUGUAACCCUAGCCCCCUCCGAUGUCUAUAUAAACUGGAGGGUUUAGUUCGUAGGACAACAUACAAUCAUACCAUAGGCUAGCUUCUAGGGUUUAGCCUCUAGGAUCUCGUGGUAGAUCAACUCUUGUAAUACUCAUAUCAUCAAGAACAAUCAAGCAGGACGUAGGGUAUUACCUCCUUCAAGAGGGCCCGAACCUGGGUAAACAUCGUGUCCCUUGUCUCCUGUUACCAUCCGCCUUAGACGCACAGUUCGGGACCCCCUACCCGAGAUUCGCUGGUUUUGACACCGACAUUGGUGCUUUCAUUGAGAGUUCCACCGUGCCGUCACCAUAAGGGGGGAUGGCUCGUCUUGUUGUCAAGGACAACAUCACUUCUGGGGGAGCCCUGGCUGUAGGCCAAACUCUCCGACUAGGCGGCUUCGUCAUAACCGCCCGCUCGGCCGUUGCGCCGACGAUGACUUCUCGGGUCAUCGAAAAUAGCCUCCACAUCGGCUCAAGAUUCGCCGAGCAGAUGGACCCAAUGGAGCUCUCCUCUUUGAACAAGCUCUUGGAUCGCAUCGCCGCUCUGGGAGUCGCUACGGACUAUGAUCGGAUCGGGCUUAAACCCGACCAAAGGGAGAUUAACUCUCCGCUGGUCACCCAUCAAAUAGCGGUGGUGGAGGAGCAACGCGACGAUUCUCCCUCUAUCCUGAGGACGAACUAUGUCCGGAUUCCUGAGCUCUCCGAGCCGGAUACCCGCUCACGGGAGGACAUCGCCCUAACCCUGGACCUAGAAUCAGGUCGCAUACCGAACCCAUGGAGCAACAUCACGGAGCCCAAACUUCCAAGAUCGGAAACUCUCCUACCCCGGGAUCUCAGAUUGGGUCAAGGUCUGGACUUAAAUCCACCCACCCACCCAGAUACAAACGAUCUUUCCCACAUUAGGCAAGCGCCCCAAGAGACAGUACAUCACUAUUGGGCCAGAUUCCUCCUUGUAAUGAACAAGGUCAAGGACUGUCGCGAGGAAGACACAAUUUCGUUCUUUUGCAACAAUUGCACGGACACGGGAAUCCUCAACGCCAUAAGUCGCCGUGACAUAGCACACUUCGCUGACUUGGCGGCCAUAGUAUGGAAAUACUAUGCGAUGGAAAGCGUCUGGAAAACCCAAACACAAUUUUGGGACAAUCCGGCUCUGACAAAACCCCCAGUCCGAACUAAAAGGGUGCACUCUCAUAAGUCGCCCGACUAAAUUACAAAGAAGCAAAAGCCCAAUACAGGGCGUGGAACCGUAUUGGAGGGAUGGCUUAACGGGCCCUGCAAAAUUCAUAGUAUAGCGGAUACCAUACCAACACAUAGCCUUAGAGCAUGUUGGGUACUCCGGCAGGUGGCCAAGAGCGGUGAGGAUCUCCUCAUCCAAAACACCCCAGAACACCCUCCCACGAAUAACAAUAUAGUAUUAACAGUCUUUGAGACCUUCGCCUCAAAUAAUAGGCGUAAGUGAGCACUCCACAGCCUUGCCGAAGUCUGCCACGUAGCAGCAAUAAAUCCAUGGAGCGACACGGCCAUUACUUUCAAUGCGAGUGACGAACCUAAAUUCCAAACAGCCCGAGCACCGGCUGCUUUGGUCCUCAGUCCAAUUGUGGACGGCUUUCGGCUAACUAAAGUGCUCAUGGACAGCGGCAGCGGAUUAAACCUCAUUUAUGAGGUGACUCUUCAAAAAAUGGAAAUAGACAACAACCGUAUUGAGCAAAGCACCAUGACCUUCUGAGGAAUCAUCCCUAGUCGGGAGGCACGUUGCGCUGGGAAAAUCACACUAGAUGUGGUAUUCGGCACUCCGGAGAAUUACAGGUCCGAAGAAAUCGCAUUCCAAGUGGCCCCGUUUAGUAGCGGAUACCACACCCUUCUAGGACGGGAGGCAUUCACGAUUUUUCAAGCCAUACCCCAUUACGGGUACAUGAAGCUCAAAAUGCCCGGACCCAAUGGAAUCAUCACUCUAGCUAGUGAUCCGAACAUAGCACUCCGUGCCGAGAACAAAACAGCCGCACUGGCCCUCGAGGCAUUAUCCGAAGCCCUUGUGGCGGAGGAGUUAACCGCGCUGCGCUCCACAGUGGACAGGGACGACGUGAUACUAGACAAAAGGUCCAAGUACACCUCCUUUAAACCAGCGGAUGAAAUAGUCAAAUUCCAAGUCCAUCCAAUGGACCCCACAAAAACAGCAUCCAUUGGGGCACAGUUAAACCCCGCCAUAGACGCCGCACUAUGGGAGUUCCUGCGAGAGAAUUGGGACAUAUUCGCCUGGCAUCCUUCAGACAUGCCAGGAAUCCCAUGCAGGCUGGCCGAGCAUAGCCUUAACAUUCUAAAAGGAUUCAUGCCGGUCAAGCAGACUCUUCGGUGUUUCUCCGAACCUAAGCGACAAGCCAUGGAAGAGGAGCUAGCCAAAUUACUAGAGGCCGGAUUCAUUAGAGAAAUAAAGCAUCCGGACUGGCUAGCAAACCUGGUGAUGGUGCCAAAGAAGGACAAAUCCUGACGCCUAUGCGUCGACUUCAAGGACCUUAAUAAGGCUUGCCCAAAGUAUCCCUUCCCCCUCCCUCGCAUCGAUCAAAUUAUUGACGCUACCGCAGGACACGACUCAUUGUGCUUCCUCGACGCAUACUCCGGUUACCACCAAAUUAAGAUGGCGGAGUCCAACCAAGCCGCAACGACAUUUAUCACUCCAUACGGCCCCUUCUAUUUUAACACAAUGCCCUUCGGUCUCAAAAACGCCGGCGCCACGUAUCAGCGCAUGAUUCAGACGUGUUUGGAAAAGCAGAUCGGCAAAAUAGUGGAGGCAUACGUCGACGAUGUGGUCAUUAAAACCAGACAUGUCGACUCCUUAAUAGACGACUUGAGCCUCACGUUCGACAAUAUCCGAACAUAUGACAUUAAGCUCAAUCCGGAAAAAUGCGUUUUCGGCGUACCCGCCGGAAAGCUCCUGGGCUUUAUCUUCUCCAGCAGAGGAAUUGAAGCAAAUCCGGCCAAAAUCCGGGCUCUGUCGUAGUUGGCUAUCCCAACUGACCUCAAGCAAAUCCAGAAGUUAAAUGGAUGUGUGGCGGCUUUAAGCCGCUUUAUCUCCCGACUAGGAGAAAAGGCACUCCCCCUUUAUCGCCUUCUUCGGCGCACCGAACACUUCGAGUGGACGGACGCAACCACGGCCGGACUGGAAGAAAUAAAAGCCAUCCUGGCCACCAACCCAAUCUUGGCCGCGCCAAAUGUUGGCGAACCAAUGCUAUUAUAUAUAGCGGCAACUCACUAAGUUGUAAGCGCAGUGCUCGUCGUCGAACGAGAGAUGGACGAACAUAAAUUCCCACUUCAAAAGCCGGUAUAUUAUGUAUCCACCGUCCUCACUCCAUGCAAAUCACGGUACCCACAUUAUCAAAAGAUAGCAUACGCGGUACUCAUGGCAUCCCGGAAAUUACGACACUACUUUCAAGAGUGUUCAAUUACGGUGGCCUCAGAAGUACCAGUCAACGACAUAAUAAACAACCGCGAUGCCACGGGCCGGUUUGCCAAAUGGGCUAUUGAGCUCCUCCCGUUCGACAUAACAUAUAAACCACGGCGAGCCAUUAAGUCUCAAGUACUGGCCGAUUUCGUAGCCGAAUGGACAGAAGCCGAACUCCCUAAAGAGUACGGCGCAUACUCCAAUUAGAUCAUGCACUUCGACGGCUCUAAAAUGCUGGCUGGUUUGGGGACUGGCAUCGUCCUAAUCUCCCCCGCCGGAGAUACAGUGCAAUACGUACUCCAAAUACUGUAUACAGACUCCAAUAACGCAGCCAAAUACGAGGCCCUAUUACACGGCGUCCAGAUGGCAGUUUCCAUGGGCAUUCAACGCUCGGAGGUGCGUGGGGACUCGAACCUCGCAAUAUCCCAAAUAAAUGGAGACUUCGAUGCCAAGGAUCCGAAAAUGGCGGCAUAUCGCAACGUCAUCCUCAAAAUGUCAGCUCGGUUCGAGGGGCUUGAAUUCCACCAUGUGGCUCGGGAAAACAACCAGGCGGCGGACAUCCUCGCCCGUAUCGGCGCUAAAUGCGACCCUGUCCCACCUAACAUCUUCCUAGAAAAACUGUUUAACCCAUUUGUGGUAUGGGAAGGGGACACCGGCAACAAUAGUCCGGACCCGGCCACAACACCAGAUACCGAACACUCUGACACGAUUGGAGGCUCUGCCAUCAAAAUAACACCUUCAGCCCACGUAAUAAUGGUCGUCAUCGCCCCGUGGACAGAACCAUUCCUGGCCUACCUAACCAGGCAGGAACUACCCGAGGACCAAAAUGAGGCACGCUGCAUAGUGCGGCGAUCUAAAGUCUACAAGGUUCACGAGGAAGAGCUUUAUAAGAAAAGCACUACUGGAGUCCUUCAAAGGUGCAUCUCCGAAGAGGAAGGGUGGAAGCUUUUGGCAGAAAUCCAUGCCGGACUCGGCGGCCAUCGCGCCGCAGCCCGGGCCCUUGUAAGGCCUUCCAUACAGGUUUCUAUUGGCCGACGGCCCGGGCAGAUGCGCAGCAUCUGGUCUAACAUUGUGUCGGUUGCCAGCUUUUUGCAAACCAAAGCCAUAUGCCGCCUACCGCUCUCCAAACAAUCCCCAUUACUUGGCCCUUCGCGGUCUGGAGGCUUGAUAUGGUCGGACCCCUUAAAGGGGGAACCCAUAAGAAAAAAUACUUACUGGUCAUGGUGGAUAAAUUCACCAAAUGGAUAGAAGCCAAACCUGUCAAAACGGCUGAAUCCGGACCGGUGAUAGACUUCAUAUCUUGGGUCGUACACCAUUAUGGCGUCCCCCACAGCAUCAUCACUGAUAACGGCAUGAACUUUACAGCCGACGAGGUGAAACUUCGGUGCAGCAACAUGGGAAUCAAGCUCGAUUAUGCUUAUGUCUAUCACCCGCAAACUAACGGUCAAGUCGAGCGAGCGAAUGGUCUUAUCAUGAGCGGCAUUAAACCCAGAUUAGUGCGGUCCUUAAAGGAGUCAAACACGCACUGGGUAGAGGCGCUCGACUCCGUACUAUGGGGGUUGCGGACCACGCCAAGUCGCACUACCGGUUACACACCGUUCUUUAUGGUGUACGGCGCAGAGGCGGUUCUGCCUUGCGACAUAAUUCAUGACUCACCUUGAGUGCGCAUGUACGAAGAAAAAGAGGCCGAGCUCGAUCAGCAGGACAGUUUGGACACCCUGGAGGAGGAGCACGAUGUGGCAAAGGCCCGUUCCGCAUUCUAUCAGCAAUAGGCUCGAAACCUAUAACGUUGGCGAACUAGUUCUACGCCUGCCGGAGAAGAAAAAGAACAAGCUCAAGCCCAAAUGGGAGGGUCCCUUCAUUAUUGACCAGGUUCUGACCGGUGGAGCGUACCGUCUGUGGGAUGCAUCGGAUAAUCGACUCAAGCCAAACCCAUGGAAUGCAGCCAGACUCCGAAGAUUCUACGCCUAGCGCCGGACUCUAUGUUCAUCUCCUUACCUUCGUCAAUUUUUUGCAUAUCUGUCUUUUCUCUGUUUCUCCCUCUUUACUCUCUUCAAGGCCCUUAAAGGCUAUACUUGUGUCUUGGUUACACAAUCUUGACGCGCUAGCUGUGCUCAUUAUACCUGGAGGCUUCUUAUACAGAAGCUUGAUCUUAUUAUUUUUUCGGGCUUUAUGCCCCGCACAUGUGUUAUUCUUCCACGUGUACCUUUUUUCGCCAUUAUAUGCAUCGAUAUGACUUAAGUUUUGGCCAAGCUGGGUUGCCUGGCUCUUGUAUUUAUGCCCUACGUUCCCGUUAGUUCGGCUAGGGCAUAAGGGGAGCACCUCUGUGAUUGUUACUGCCGGGUCAGCCGGAUGUGUACCUCAGACUGGGUGAAGCUGAAAGCUAGCGUUCUUAAGGGAAUAUUUGGUUGGUGAAUAAAAGAUGACUUUUAUCUAAUUUGAAACAUGCCCCCAGAUGUUUAUAUCCCGCGCCUCUUUUCGCAGUUCGGACAUGCACAUUAGGGCAUGCGUACCCAGGGAAAGGAACCCUUAACAGAACUAUUCUCCCUGGAAGAUAUUUCUUACUACCCAUGUAAUAUAACAUAACUAGUUGGGUACCUGUCUAUUCAAGCACUUAUGACCCCUACGCCUGGUCUCCAUGCAUACCUUGGUUUUUACAUAACCAAGCGGGUAUUCGGAUACACUCCGGACUGUCGGGUCCAGAGCUCGAAGCGAAAAGGUCCGCCAUGACAAAUGAUUUACAAUCCGGCUAGGGACAUUACAUAUGUUACUUGAAUUACAUAGUCGCUAAGACUGAUUAAAUUCUUCUUCUAUACCAUCCAACAGGCUGUCUAGCCUACAAUCCUGUUGGGAAUACUUUGCGGCUAAUUCUACUUGAUCAUACACUAAACUGACGGGGAUCUCUUUCCCAUCGGGCCCCACAGGUCCGACCUCGGCCAUGUGGUUUGGGUCCGCUUUGGUAUAUCGUGUCUUCACCAUAGCCCAGGCUUUCCUUGCACCUUGUCGGCAGGCUGAUAUCUUCCAUAAUCGGAAGCGCCGCCGCGCUCCCUUGAGCUUCUCUAUAAGCUCCACCAUGCCUCCUGGCGGGGACGCGGACGGCCACAAGGCUUGGGCAAUACCCUGCAUCACCUACCGAACUUGCUCGUGCAGUUGUGAGAGCUCUGGUAAAAGAUCACCCGAAGACCCGGGCAUCUCUUCCGCGGGACGACCCGUCAGCAUACCUGCAGAUAUAACUCUGUUAACCGGCUUCUUCGCCGAACUCCUUUAAAAGUUCGUUCAAGCACUUACUAAAAAUGCCGCACCGAAGCCGCUUAUUCUCCUUCACGGAGUCCGCAAGCUGGGCUCGGACAUCUUUCAGUUCCACGCCCAGCCAGAUAUUGGCGUCUUGGAGAUCAUUUUUCUCCUGCCUGACUCGCGUAAGCACGCGCUCACCAGCAUUUCGUUGUCGAUCAUCAUGUGCCGCAUUCAUCGCCACGACCUCUGGAUCCACUCCGGGGCCACCUGCAACAUCUAUUGUUAGAUUUGCAUAUAUGCCACAUACUACCUGGUACCCGUAUUCUUUGCAAUGGAAACAAGUGUUACCAGAGGGACCCUUCUCGGACUCCUUCAAUGCGGCAACAGCGGCCCCCAGCUGGGCCUUGCACUCUUCCAGCUCUUGAGACAAUUGGGAAUUCUUCUCUGUAAGAACUUGCACAAAUAAUGAUCCUUAAAUCAGUUACACCACCUGUUUCAAGUCUCAGGGGCUACUGAUAUAUAUAAUCGUCAGAUUUGCUUACCCGUAUAUCCCUUACAUACUGGUCCGUGGCUCUGGCUAGACCAUUUUGAGCAGCACGGAUGUACGCAUCUCCGGAAUUGAAGGCAUCAAAUGCCUCUGGUGAGAAACAAGCGUCACGGAGUACGGCCCGACGACGCCUGUGAUUCAUGGCGCUCUCCACUUUGGAAUUUGUAGCGGAUAGUCUGUCCGCAUCCUCUAUAGGAGGACAUCCGGUGUCUGCCCCGCGUUAGCUUCCGCCUCUAUGUCCAGCCCUGGAGCCCGACUGGUCGAGGCGUGAUCGGCAGCCUGUCCGGAUAGAGUCCAGCGAGCGUUUUUUCUGCUAAGAAACACGGACGUCAUUGUAUAUUAAGAAAGACGACAACUACGGAGUGAGGUUUUGCGUCAUACCUCUGUGUCGGCGUCUCCGUCCUGACCGCCUUCCUUUUUGUCCUACUGUAGGAUCGAAAGUAUGUCUAGAGGGGGGUGAUUAGACUACUUGACCAAUUAAAAAUCUAUCCUUUUCCCAAUUUUAGUGUUUGGCAGAUUUUAGCUAUCUUAGCACAAGUCAAGCAAUCUUAACAUAAUUCAAGCAAGCAUGCAAAGAGUCUAUGAGCAGCGGAAAGUGAAGCAUGCAACUUGCAAGAAUGUAAAGGGAAGGGUUUGGAGAAUUCAAACACAAUUUGAGACACGGAUGUUUUUGUCGUGGUUCCGAUAGGUGGUGCUAUCGUACAUCCACGUUGAUGGAGACUUCAACCCACGGAGGGUAAUGGUUGCGCGAGUCCAUGAAGGGCUCCACCCACGAAGGGUCCACGAAGAAGCAACCUUGUCUAUCCCAUCAUGGCCAUCGCCCAUGAAGGACUUGCCUCACUAGCGGUAUAUCUUCAUGAAGUAGGCGAUCUCCUUGCCCUUACAAACUCCUUGGUUCAACUCCACAAUCUUUGUCGGAGGCUCCCAAGUGACACCUAGCCAAUCUAGGAGACACCACUCUCCAAGAAGUAACAAAUGGUGUGUUGAUGAUGAACUCCUUGCUCUUGUGCUUCAAAUGAUAGUCUCCCCAACACUCAACUCUCUCUCACAGGAUUUGGAUUUGGUGGAAAGAAGAUUUGAGUGGAAAGCAACUUGGGGAAGGCUAGAGAUCAAGAUUCAUAUGGUGGGAAUGGAAUAUCUUGGCCUCAACACAUGAGUAGGUGGUUCUCUCUCAGAAAAUGUGUAUUGGAAGUGUAGGUAUGUUCUGAUGGCUCUCUCCACGAAUGAAGAGUGGGUGGAGGGGUAUAUAUAGCCUCCACACAAAAACUAACCGUUACACACAAUUUACCAAUCUCGGUGAGACCGAAUUGAGAAACUCGGUCGGACCGAUUUAGCAAACCUAGUGACCGUUAGGAUUUUUGGUGGGACUGAGAAGCAACUCGGUAGGACCGAUAUGGUUAGGGUUAGGGCAUAACGUAAUCUCGUUGUGACCGAUUACACAAACUCGGUGGGACCGAUUUUGGUAAUAAGCUAACCAGAGAGUUGGUCAGGUAAACUCGGUGGGACCGAUCGCUCAUUUCGGUGGGACCGAAAUGUUACAAAAGGGAAACAGAGAGUUUACAUUGCAAUCUUGGUGGGACCGAUCGCUCAUCUCGGUAGGACUAAAACGUUAUGAAGGGAAACAGAGAGAUUACAACCCCAUCUUGGUGUGACCGAAAUCCCUAUCGGUGAGAUCGAUUUGUUUGUGGCAGUGGCUAUGACAUCUGAACUCGGUGGCGCCGGAUAGAAAGAAUCGGUGGGGCCGAGUUUGACUUUUAGUUUAGGUCAUAUGUGGAUGUGGGAAGGUAGUUGAGGGUUUUAGAGCAUAUCACCAAGCACUAUGAAGCAAGAACCUCAUCAAGCAACACCUCAUCCCUCCUAGAUAGUAUUGGCUUUUCCUAUAGACUCAAUGUGAUCUUGGAUCACUAAAAUAUAAAAUGUAGAGUCUUGAGAUUUGAGCUUGAGCCAAUCUUUUUGUCCUUAGUAUUUUGAGGGGUCCACUUUCCUCAUCCAUGCCAUGCCAUCCAUUGAGCUUUUCCUGAAAUAUUAAUCUUGGAAUGUCAUUAGCUCAAUGAGCUAUAUGUUGUUAGGAAUUACCAAAACCACCUAGGGAUAGUUGCACUUUCACCUACCCGGCUCCGGUGCCUCUUGUUGGUGAGUUGCUGCGGGUUCGGCACGACGUCCCGAAUGCCUUCCCUGUAAAACACCAUAUGUGUACGAUAGGUGAGGUGCAUAAAAGGGGAUCCUUUUUGGAGUUGGGAUUUUGGUUUUUCUUACGUGCGACACAGGGAGUAGUCCAGGAUAGUCAGCCAUUAUGGCCACCAUGGCGUCGUCACAGCUCAGUUGAUAGAAUUGCCUGUCUAUCAUCUCCACGUAUAUGUCCGGAUCCGCCUCGAGUCCGGGAUCGAGGGCCCGGUCAGGGUCCUCCGGUUGUGGAGGUGGGCUGUUGACCUCCCUUGCAGCUUUUUGCAGUUCCUGCCGUGAAAUGGCAAGGUGAGUACCUACGAUGAAGAAUGUGGGAAGGUUGGGAGUAAAGAGGUGCAACUCACCCAACUUGGAGGGUUGUACAUGGAGAAUCCAUCCCGUGGCUUAAUACGGGUCAACUCCUCUUCCUCUCCCUUGAACAACUCGGACAGAAUUUUUGCUAAGGCAGCAGCGGAGUCCGGUCCCUUGCACCCGCAACGGGUGGAAUCAUCUUCCCCGUUAAAACACCACAGGGGGUGCCCUCGAUAUUGAAGCGGCUACACCCCCCGCAUUAUGCAUAUUGACAUAACCUCGAUUAUUGUCAAUCCUGAUUGAGCCAGCGCUUUGAUCCGGUUCAUCAGGUAAAGGACUUCUCCGUUGUCUUCCCCCUGGGGGCUCCAUGGGCACCAGCUUCGGCGUUUCUUCAGAGGAGCAUUGUUGAACUCAGGAAGACCCCGCCGAACAGGGCCUGGAAGGGGGACGCCCUCCAUGUAAAACCACUCCGAAGGCCAGUCUUCGGAGGUCUUCUUCGUAGUACCGGACAGGUAUCCGAUCUCGGUGAUGCGCCAUAUUUCGGCUCCGCCCACCUGAUAAAGUGACCCCUUCUGUGUGCGGGGCACAAGGCAAAAUAGCCUUUUCCACAGCUCGAAAUGAGCCUCGCAGCCCAGAAACAGCUCACAAAGGGCAACAUAACCGGCGAUGUGUAAUAUGGAAGCAGGGGUGAAAUUAUGCAACUGGAGGCCGUAAGACUCCAGGAGCCCGCGGAGGAAGGGAUGGAUUGGAAAUCCGAGUCCCCUUAAUAAGUAAGGGACAAGGCAUACCCCCUCCCCCUUAGAGGGAUUGGGAAGCUCUCUGCUUACUCCCCGCCAUUAUAAGUGGUGAGCCUGGCUCGGACGGGGAUCAUAUACGCUGGAGGGAGAAAUCCCUGGGUCUGCAACUCUACUAGUCGGCUCUACGGGACGGAACACUUCUCCCAAUCACCGGGCUUAGGGCUACGGGAGCGGGAGGAGGAGCUGCGGUGGCCGGCCAUGAUGGAAUGGAUUUUUCCGAGCAUGCUCCGAUGGAUUCUUGCCGUGGGAGGAUGGUGCGGAUUGGAUCUAAGAAUCCCCAUCCCUUUAAUAGACGAUUUAUUUACCUGGCUAGGGGGGCAAAUGUAAAAACGCCAUGGCUCCUCGCAUUCGCUCAACGCGUGGAAGAUAGCCCUUAUUGGGCACAGAAGACAAGAAGUCUAACAUUUAUGGGAGCCGGACACUACUUAGCAGAUAUUCAGGAUUUGGAGAAGAACCCGCCUUGCUAUGCCAAUGACAAUACUACGCGCCGGACUCAUCGUCAUUGAAGCCUGGUUCAGGGGCUACUGAGGGAGUCCUGGAUUAGGGGGUCUCCGGACAGACGGACUAUAUCCUUUGGCCGUGUUGGACUAUGAAGAUACAAGAUUGAAGACUUCGUCCCAUGUCCGGAUGGGACUCUCCUUGGCAUGGAAGGUAAGCUAGGCAAUAUGGAUAUGUAGAUCUCCUCCCUUGUAACCGACUCUGUGUAGCCCUAGCCCCCUCCGGUGUCUAUAUAAACCGGAGGGUUUAGUCCGUAGGACAACAUACAAUCAUACCAUAGGCUAGCUUCUAGGGUUUAGCCUCUAGGAUCUCGUGGUAGAUGAACUCUUGUAAUACUCAUAUCAUCAAGAACAAUCAAGCAGGACGUAGGGUAUUACCUCCUUCAAGAGGGCCCGGACCUGGGUAAACAUUGUGUCUCUUGUCUCCUGUUACCAUCCGCCUUAGACGCACAGUUCGGGACCCCCUACCCGAGAUUCGCCGGUUUUGACACCGACAAUGACUAUUCAAGAUACACUUGGGUAUAUUUCUUCAAGAGGAAGAGUGAGACCCAACAAACCGUCAUUGACUUUGCAAAUGAAGCCCAACGUCAACACAAUGCAAAGAUCUUGACAAUAAGAAGUGACAAUGGCACCGAGUUCAAGAACUACACCUUGGAUGAGUUUCUUAGUGAUGAGGGGAUCAAGCAUCAAUAUUCUGCACCUUACACCCCUCAACAAAAUGGCGUAGCGGAGAGGAAGAACCAGGCGUUGAUGGAUGCGGCAAGGACCAUGAUGGCGGAGUUCAAGUCUCCAUACAACUGUUGAGCCGAAGCCAUCAACACCGUGUGUCAUGCAUCAAAUCAGCUCCAUCUCCGCAAAGGCUUGAACAAGACUCCAUAUGAGAUACUCACCGGUAACAAGCCCAACCUCAAGUACUUUCGGGUGUUCGGGUGUACAUGUUUCAUUCUCAGAAAGGUGUUCGUUUGUCUAAAUUUGAGGCUAGAGCUUAUGAGGGCAUAUUUCUUGGUUAUGCUACAAACUCUCAUGCUUACCGUGUCCUCAAUAAGUCCACGGGACUUAUUGAGGAGAAAUGUAACGUGGAGUUUGAUGAGAAUAACGGCUCCCAAGUGGAGCAAAGUGGCACUUGUGACAUAGGUGAUGAAAUUCCUCCUCAAGCCAUAAGAAGAAUGGGAGUUGGUUUUAUCCUACCCAUUGAGGAACCCCUUGUGGCCGAAGGAGAAGGACAAUGCUCCACUCAAGUGGAGCCAUAACCAACCCAAGGCCCACACGCUUCUGAAGAACAAAGUGAAGGCCCUCAACCUCAAGAACAAGACCAAGGGCAAGAUCAAUCUCAAGAUGGUGCUGAAACAUCAAUUGAUGUCCAAGCUCAAGUUCUCUCCUCCGAGCAAGUUCAAGAUCAAGAACUUCCUUGAGAUCAAGAACAAGCUCACGACGGCGCUCAAGAUGAUCAAGUGACUGCUCCUCGACUCACCCCCGAGGAGGAAUUGGAGCGUCGUGCCGCCAAGAUUGCAUCCAAGGUCUCCACCAAGGGUCAUCUCAUGAAUAAUGUGCUUGGAAGCAUUCAAAAGGGGGUAAGCACUCGUAGACAAUUGGCAAACUAUUGUGAACAUCACGCGUUUGUCUCUUGUGUUGAAGCCCAAAAGGUCUAUGAGGCGCUCGAAGAUCCGGAUUGGCUCAAUGCCAUGCAUGAAGAACUCAAUAGCUUCGGGUACAACAAGGUGUGGAGAUUGGUGCCAAGGCCAACGGGGAACCACAAUGUCAUUGGAACCAAGUGGAUAUUCAAGAACAAGCAAGAUGCUCAUGGGACCAUAGUUCGCAACAAGGCUACUCUCAAGUCGAAGGUAUCGACUACAGUGAAACCUUUGCUCCCGUCGCUCGCCUUGAAUCCAUUCAUUUGUUGAUUGCUUAUGCUUCCCAUCAUAACUUUAAGUUACAACAAAUGGAUGUGAAGAGUGCUUUUCUUAAUGGUCCCAUUAAUGAGUUGGUAUAUGUCAAGCAACCCCCCGGGUUCGAGGAUCCCUACUUCCCCGAUCAUGUGUAUCAACUCGAUAAGGCACUCUAUGGCCUUAAGAAAGCCCCACGUGCGUGGUAUGACCACCUUACCGAGUUGUUGCAAGAUCGUGGAUUUGAAGUUGGGAAAAUCGAUCCCACUCUUUUUACUAAGAAGGUCAAAGGGGAGUUGUUUGUGUGCCAACUAUAUGUUGAUGAUAUUAUAUUUGGUUCCCCUAACAAAUCUUUCAAUGAGGAAUUUGCCGCUCUCAUGACCUCUAAGUUCAAGAUGUCUUCGAUGGGAGAGUUGAAGUUUUUCCUUGGAUUCGAAGUCAAACAAAGAAGAGAAGGAACCUUCAUCAACCAAGCCAAAUACACUCAAGACAUGCUAAAGAGAUUCAAGCUAAGUGAUGUCAAGCCGGCCUCCACUCCAAUGCCCACCAAGUGCCAACUUGACAUUGAUCCCAAUGGUAAAGUGGUGGAUCAAAAGGUAUAUCGCUCCAUGAUUGGCUCCUUGCUUUACCUUUGUGCAUCUAAACCGGAUAUCAUGUUGAGUGUGGGAAUUUGUGCACGGUUUCAAGCCGCACCUAAGGAAAGCCACUUUGUGGCAGUCAAGCGAAUCUUUUGAUAUUUGGCUCAUACCCCAAACUUUGGCUUAUGGUACCCAAGAGGAUCCAACUUCAAGCUUAUGGGCUAUUCGGACUCCGAUUGGGCGGGAGACAAAGUGGAUAGGAAGUCCACUUCCGGAGGGUGCCAAUUUCUUGGUUGCUCUUUGGUAAGUUGGUCUUCCAAGAAGCAAAGUUGUGUGUCUCUCUUGUCCACCGAAACGGAGUAUGUGGCCGCCGGGAGUUGUUGUGCACAACUUCUUUGGAUGAGGCAAACUUUAAAGGAUUACGGUGUCACUUGUGACAAAGUGCCUCUUUGGUGUGAUAAUGAAAGUGCCAUCAAGAUUUCUCUCAAUCCGGUGCAACACUUCAAGAAUAAGCAUAUUGAGAUUCGGUAUCACUUCAUCUGGGAUCACAUUAGGUGCGGGGAGAUCGAGCUCAACUACGUCAACACUCAUGAUAACCUUGCAGAUAUUUUCACGAAGCCCUUGGAUGAAGCAAGAUUUCGCGAGUUAAGGCAUGAGCUAAAUAUCAUUGAUUCGAGCAAUGUUGCUUGAACCCUUGAACACCCCACCAUACUCAACUUUUUAUCUUGUUUAGGUGUAGGCAUGGACAUAGGGGGAGUGUUGUUCUCUAAUGAACUCUCCCUCCCCCAUUAUGCAUAAAUUGAUCAAUUCUUUCACAUUAGCCAUUGUUGAUGGUACUUGUGAUUCAAAGACGAGUUUUUGGUCAUGGGCCCAAGGAUAAUUCUUCGCGCUGCCAUACCAUUUUAACUCAAACAUAGGUGGCUUCGGCCACCGCCCUUGAGCUUAGGUGUUUUUCCUUGUUGUGUGUUUCUUUUUGCCUGGCUCUUUUCAGUCUCCUAGAUGUUUGAAUUCUCAAAAGAGUGGCUUUUCUUGUUUGCUUCUUGCACUCUUGAGAGUCUUCUUCAUCAUAUUAUAGUGUCUUCAUUCCAUCGUAAGCCUCCUCAUCCCAAGCCAUCUUUCUAAAUGUACACAAGUUUGAUCUCCUUUUGUGCUUGGGCUGUUGCAACCUAGCGGUACAACCGGUGGUCAGACAGGUUCUACCGGUCUUCCCUCCUGUUGUAAAGUCUCAGCGGUACUUCAGGUCCUGCAUGAGCGGUUCUACCGCUCCUGCCUGUACCAGUAUCUCUGACCGGUACUACCGGUGCUUAGACACGGUACUACCGCUACUUCUGGAGUGGAAGUACCGCUCUCAACCACCAGGUAGCUACAGUACCGGUACUACCGCUCCUAGGAGCGGUACUACCGGCUGACAUCUGGGGCUUGUUUAAGGGGAGCGGCAGAAGGGGUUUCUCUUUUCCCAUUCGUGAUCAUCCUUCCUCUUACCCCUAGCCGCCGGUUGCCUCAUCCCUCACCCCGGAGCACCCUUAGGCCCUCCGGAUCGGUCGGCCCUUCAUCGGAUCCGCUCCAUGGAGGCCGCCUCCUCUUCAGUCUCUUCCAUGGAUACCGAUAAUGCACUGCUCUUCUCCUUCUUAGGGUUCCUCAUUUUGAAUCCAAAUCUAGGGCACUAUUUGUAUUCCCACAUUUUUGGCCAAAUUGUUGGUGGGAGAGAUCUGUAUAGCUUCCUUCUAUUUCCUGUGUGUAUGUAGAGGUAGGAAUAUUGCAUAUAGAUUCAAGAAUGGGCGGUUCCCGUUCUUCCACUCGGCGGAUUCACCCUCAGCGGUACUACCGCUCCUUGCGAGCGGUACUACCGCUCGAGCGGCACUACCGGUGGUCCUACCAGAACAACCGGUUUCUCUGAACCUGUAUACCCUGUUUCUCUUCUACCCACUUACAUGAGACCUAUUCCGCUGCUCUUGUGUACAUUACUCUCAUCUUUGCUGGGGUUUCUGUGUGCUCUCUGUGUGUGUCUGCAGGUGGUUCAAGUUCCCGUGCUGCUCGGAAGCCGCAAAACACCAAGAAGAGGGCCCGUAGGGGCAAACCUUCGGAUGACAACGAGGACUCUCAGGAGGUGGUGAUUCUUACCAAGGCCAUUCGUCGGGACAAGUCUGCUGCUGCCAAGCAACGUGUUGCAGUGCCCAUGCAUAAAUGGAAGAUGCCGGAUUGGCAAAAGUUUCAUUUCCAGGAUCCAUACACUCUUGCACCGAAUCCCCGUUGGAACAACCCUCAGUUUCGGAAUGAGUUACAUAUGAGGAUUGUGUCAGAAGUGUUCGAGCAUCACAAGAACAAGUUCACCCGGAUGUGGUCCAUUAACAUCAAUCAUUGGAGGAACCACCCUGAUUACUUUGGAGAAGCUCUGGCAAUCUGUGAAGAGUUUGAUUUGAUCAAGCUCAUGACCGUGAAUUGUGAUUUCGAUGUGCAGCUCGUCCAUCAGUUCUAUGCUACAAUCCACUUCGGCUCUGAUGAGGAACGCCACCUCUCCUUUAUGUGCCGUGAUGAGUUCUUUCAUGUCAUGUGGAGAGCUUUCUGCUAUGCUCUUGGUUAUGAGGAUACCGGGAUUGAGGGUCAAGGUGGUAUCCGUCCUCACGACCGUGCUCACCCCAUGGACAAGGUGAAGCUUGCCCAUCUAUACAUCCCUGGACAUGGCAUUGUGGGCAAGUCCAAUGAUCUUCUGCCAGUCUAUGACAUUAUGCAUCAUGUGUUCCGUUGUGUGCUGCUUCCCAAAGUUGGGAAUCAAGAUGAUAUCUAUGGUUAUCUGGUGGAUUUGCUAGUGGCCAUGAAGACCAAGAGGGGAUCCGGUGCCACGUUUGAUGUCUCGAAGUGGCUAUGGGAGGAGAUGUACAAUAUGGUUUUGUACCACAAGAUACCUAUAUAUGCUCCUUUUGUGAUGCAGUUUCUGAGCACUAUGUGGGCAAUCCGUAGGACAGGAGAGCCUCUCACCACUCCUGCCAACCUCACGGAGCAUGAGGUCAAGGAGCUUAGGAAGAAUAAUCAUAAGACCCCUCGCUUAGCUUCAGGCAAUCAGGAGGAUGUGUUUGCUACCCCGGACGACGAGGACUCUGAGCUAGAGCCUAGGGUCCAGCCCUCGUGGGUUGAGAAGCUGACAUCAAAGAUCAAGAAGACCUUUUGCCUGCAGUCUCACAUUCAGAAGAAGCUCUACAAGGCUCAUGUUGCUGAGAAGAUGGCGCGUCGCCGACAGAUUCAGUUGAUGAGGCACCUCAAUGUGUGAUACGUCUCCAUCGUAUCUAUAAUUUUUGAUUGUUCCAUGCCAAUAUUAUUCAACUUUCAUAUACUUUUGGCAACUUUUUAUACUAUUUUUGGGACUAACAUAUUGAUCCAGUGCCGAGUGCCAGUUCCUGUUUGUUGCAUGUUUUAUGUUUCGCAGAAACCCCAUAUCAAAUGGAAUCCAAACGGGAUAAAAACGGACAGAGACUAUUUUUGGAAUAUUUGGAGAAUUCCGGAAGAAAAAUCCACGCGAGACGGUGCCCGAGGGAGGCACGAGGCAGGGGGCGCGCCCCACCCCCUGGGCGCGCCCCUGACCCUCGUGGGCUCCCCGUAAGGCGGUUGAUGCCCUUCUUCGGCCGCAAGAAAGCAAAUUUUGGGGAAAAAUCACGGCGAAGAUUUCAGUUCAAUCGGAGUUACUGAUCUCCAUAUAUAUACGAAACGGUGAAAGGGCAGAAGAAUGGAACGCAGAAACAGAGAGAGACAGAGAGACAUAUCCAAUCUCGGAGGGGCUCUCGCCCCUCCCACGCCAUGGAGAUCAAGGACCAGAGGGGAAACCCUUCUCCCAUCUAGGGAGGAGGUCAAGGAAGAAGAAGAAGGAGGGGGAUCUCUUCCCCUCGCUUCCGGUGGCGCCGGAGUGCCACAGGGGACCAUCAUCAUCACCGCAAUCUUCACCAACAACUUCACCGCCAUCAUCACCAACUCUUCCUCCCUAUAUGUAGUGGUGUAACCCCUCUUUUACAUGUUGUAAUCUCUACUUAAACAUGGUGCUCACCAACUCUUCCCCCCUAUAUGAUCCAAGUAGAGAAAGUAUGUUAGCUUAUGCCUCUCCCUCAUAUAAAAUUGCAAUAAUGAUUACCGGUCUAGUUAUCGUUUGCCUAGGGACAAAUAACUUUCUCAUAACAAAAAUCUCUUUACUAAAACUAACUUAGUUGCGUCUUCAUCUAAACAGCCCCUACUUUUUAUUUACAUGCUCUUUAUUAUCUUGCAAACCUAUCCAACAACACCUACAAAGUACUUCUAGUUUCAUACUUGUUCUAGGUAAAGCGAACGUUAAGCGUGCGUAGAGUUGUAUCGGUGGUCGAUAGAACUUGAGGGAAUAUUUUGCAGGAGUCUAUGGAAGAAGAAAUUGAUGAAACUGUGAGCUUAUCGGAUGAAAAAGAAGAGGAGGAGAGCGAAGAACAAAAGGAAGAAGAGAGGAUUAGCUACCCGUGCCCACCUUCUAAUGAUAGUAACUCUUCAACUCAUACAUUGUUUAAUUUCCCUUCGUGCUUACCGAAGGAUGAUUGCUAUGAUGAUUGUUAUGAUCCCGUUGAUUCUCUUGAAAUAUCCCUUUUUGAUGAUGCUUGCUAUGCUUGUGGCCAUGAUGCCAAUAUGAAUGAUGCUCAUGGAGAUGAACUUGCUAUAGUUCCUUAUGUUAAACAUGAAAUUGUUGCUAUUGCACCCACACAUGAUAGUCCUAUUAUCUUUUUGAAUUCUCCAAACUACACUAUAUCGGAGAAGUUUGUGCUUAUUAAGGAUUAUAUUGAUGGGUUGCCUUUUACUGUUGCGCAUGAUGAUUUUGAUAGAUAUAAUAUGCAUGUGCUUGCUGCUCCUACUUGCAAUUAUUAUGAGAGAGGAACUAUAUCUCCACCUCUCUAUGUUUCCAACACGAUAAAAUUGCAAGAUACUGUUUAUACUAUGCAUUGGCCUUUACUUUGUGUGCAUGAAUUGUUCUUUUAUGACAUGCCGAUGCAUAGGAAGAGAGUUAGACUUCGUUUUUGCAUGAUAUAUGUUGCCUUGUGCUCACUACUAAAUUACAAAUCAUUUCUAAUUAAAAUUGGCUUUGAUAUACCUUGGGAUCUGGUUGGAUUCACUACUUGAGCAUUAUAUGCCUAGCUUAAUGGCUUUAAAGAAAGCACUGCCCGGAAGACAAUCCGGAAGUUUUAGAGAGUCAUUUAUUUCUGUUGAGUGCUUUUAUAUAGUUUAAAAAAAUAAAAAAA